GGUAGCAAGAAAGGAAUCCUUUCGUUGCCUCGAAUUUUCUCUUAAGCUUAAUCUAACUGUUUCGAUAAUUAAGUGUGAAGGUAUUUGGUAUCUUGUAUUUGCUUAUGCUUCAAAAGUUUUUAGUUUGCUAACUCUAUCCUAUAGUCUAGUUCAUUAAAUCUAUAGCCUUUAAUCUAAUUGGUUGAGCAUGAGCCAUAAACAUGGAUGCAGUUUAUCGAGAAAUCCUACUCCAAAAGAAAAAGAAAAAGAAAAAGAAAAAGAAAAAGAAAAAGAAAAAUUCCACAAGAAUAAUCUGCCAUACUCUCCUCAACAAGGUUAAAGAUCUUCUAUAAUUUUUUUAAUAAAUUUAGCUCUUGCUUAGGUAAAAAACUGACUUCCUUAUCAUCUAAAAUAAACCUAGAGGCCGUUACCAUUAGAGUUAUCCAAAAUUGUCCUUGUCCUUCUCUAUGGACAUUUAAUAGAGAACAAUCAAGGAAUCAUCAUCCACUAUAAGGUUCAUAAUGCUCAUGGAACACUUAUUUGGGACCUCGGGAGAUUGGGCUUUACGUUGAAAUGGCCAAGCUAAUGCCAAUUGUCUUAGAGUUGACAUGAACCAUGUUACUUAUGUGAUCUUUGGUUCUUUGGCCUUUUAACUGGUGGAACUUCUUUUAUUGGAUGAAGGAUCUUCUUAUGCCCAUUGUGUAUGAGCAUAUGCAUUUUUGUAGCCAUCAUGUUGAACCUUUCUAUAAAAAAGCCAAGUCUUCCAAGUUACAUGACCAUAGUUUUAAAAGGCUCAUGGCGCACCAAGGUGCAAAGUAGUCCUGGAGCUUGAGGCGCAAGGUGCACUUAAGGCGCAGGCUUUAGUGAAGUGAGGUGCAUCCUAAUUUACAUAUAUUUUUCCUCUAUUUUUUUCCUAUUUUUCCUCUUUUUCUUCAUCUUCUUCACUUCUCCACUGCACGGUUGAGGCUAGGGCAAAAUUUGGGAGAGUUGUCGGAUUGAAAACAACCAGAAAAGGGGACUGGAAGGGAAAACAGGGCCAAAAUGGCGUCGUUUUGGUCCUAAAAAUAAAAAAUAAAAAAUUAGGGCUUCUCUCUGCCCUCUGCAACCUGACUCCGGAGAAGAAGAGAAAGAGAAGGAGGUAGGGGAUCGAGGCGCACUUGUGGACCACGUCGCGCCUUGCGCACCUAAGCGUCGCCUUCGUGAAGGGGCGUCACGCCGCCCGGAGCCUAGGCGCACCUUUCACAACUAUGCAUAUGACUCACUUUUAUUGGUAAGACCUCACACCAUAUAGACUCUUUAAAGUCCUUACCAAAAAAGGAAUGUGACCAAGCAACAAAAGCUUAUUGGAAUUGAGGUGUCGUUAUCCUAUGCUAUUUGGAAUGGAUUUGAAUGUUUCUCUAUUUUAAUGUUAGCUUCUCAACAAGCUCUUGCAAAGCUAUGUUCCAAUUGCUACCUCCAUCAAUGAUCAUGGUACAUAACCACCGUUGGCAAGAGAUAUGUGUAUGGAAAAUGCUAGAAUCGCCAAUCUUCUUCUCUUUUCACCUUUGGGACAACUAACAAAGGUCACACUACAAGGCUAUGACCUUACGUCAUAUCAUCGUAAUAAUCACAUUUGUCACUAAGUUCAUCUUCAUUGUUGGUCUUUUCUUUUUUUGGAUGAUUUUCCAAUUUAGAUUUUGGUUUUUCAAAACAAAAGUGUAAACCUUUGCUUAGGUACACAUCAUAAUGAUCGUACCCACCACACUUAAAGCAAAAAGGAGUCUCACCUACCUUUUUGUCUCCAAUACUCGUGACGUUCUACCCUUAUUAGAGUCUCUAUUAGCCACAUUUGAAGCUUGUUGAUUAUUUUCCUUACCAUUCACAUGGUUAGAAGUUUGGGAAAUUGUUGUGCUAAGUGGUUUGCUUGUUGUUUGGUUGGAGAAAGUACUCCCAAUUUGUGACUUGGAUGUUUGGAAGCCUGAAACUUAAGCCCUUCUAUUUUAAGCGCUAGUUGAUAAACAUCAUCCAUGGUAUAAGUGUAUGCAAUUAUCCACUCAAGUUGAAUAUCCAUUUGUAGUCUAGCGUUAUAAAGGGCUGUAAGUUGAGCCUCACUUUCUCGCACUUGAUUCCAAAUGCUCAAUUCAUGGAAGUUUUUUGUAUGUUCUUCAACUCAAUACCUUGUUUGAGAGAAAACAAAUUUUGUGUUCGUAGUCAAUUGGGAGAAAGUGCUCCUUCAUCUUCAACUUCAUCUCGUCCCAUGUAUCUAUAGGUGGUUGUCUUGUUCUACAAAGUUGAUUCUUAAUAUUAUGCCACCAUAGACAUGUUGCUCCUUUCAACUUUGCCUUCACAAUACGAAUUUUUCUAUUUUCGGGCAUAGCAUAUCAACAAAGUAUUCUUCCAUUGACAUAAUCCAAUCAAGAAAAGCUGUUGGAUUUAACUUUCCAUAAAAUUUAGCAAUUUCAAGGUGUACCUUUUUUUUUGUCAAAUCUCAUCUUGAAUAAAUAGUUUGCCCCUUCUUUGAUUUCCCAUCAUCAAAUUGCCUUCUUCAUGUGGUCUACUAGGCGAUUGUUUGAAUUCAUGACUUGCAAUCUUAUCUUCAAUUGGUCGUUUUUCUUGGCUCUUUUGUAGUAACUUCAUGAUCUCAUCAAGUUUGCUAUUUAAUUGUAUUAUAGCAUUUUGAUAGGAUUGUUGUGUGGCAGAGAUUUUCUCUAAGUGUGUUACUUACAAAAAAAAAAAAAAAAAAAAGAAGAUGUCCUCUAUGUGUGUUGUAGCAAUAUCUUGAUUUCUAGAAGUAUUUUUUGAACUCAUGCUUGCAUAAGUUACUUCACUCCUCAAUUGCACAGACCUUCACACCAAGGACUUUUAAUCUAAUACCAAAAAUGAUGUAGGACAACCUUAGGAUGAUUGCCUACAAUUAAAUAGGUGGGCUAGGGUUUUUAUUUUUUAGGUUUAAGGAAAGGAACAAGGGAUAAAGUUUAUGGUAGAGAAAAAUAAAAUAAAAAAUAUAGAGAAGGAAGAUACAAAGAAUAAGAGAUAGAAACCUUAGAGUUUCACUAAGAUCUUUUAGGCAUCUCAUUUAAAAAAAAAUCAAUAGUUUGACAAUUGAGAAUUGCAAUACUUGCAAAAAAACUAAUAUUAUAUAAUCACCAAUUAAUUCUUUGGUUUAUAUCACUUAACUUUAUUUAUAGGUUUCUCUAAGAAAUUUAUAGUUUAUUAAGAUUUUAAUAACCUAUUAUGAAUCUAAUUCUAAUUCUCCUAUAACCUAAUUAGUUACUCUUAAUUUGACUCUAAUGAAUACUAAUCUUAAUUUAAUUUCAAUUAAUACUAAUCCUAAUUUAAUUCCAACCAAUGCCCAUCCUUAUCAAGGGGUUAAUUUGAAACCAUUCAUCUUCUUUAAAAUGCUCCUUACAAUGUUAAACCUUGAACUAUUUCAGAAAGGUUAAACUAAAAAGAUCCAAUAACUCCACCUAGAAUUCCUUUCUAAGUGUGACAUUAUUGGGACCAUGCACUGAAGUAAGUUGAAAGACCAUAAAUUUCCAAACCUCUAAAAAGAGAGAUGAGAGAGAGCGAGGACGAUCAUGUAAGCGAAGGCGGAGAAGGGGAAAGCCGGGCGGAGAAUCGAGGGAAGAGGAAGGGAAGUAGAUUCGUGGUGGAAUCGAAGGUGUUCGAAGUAGAAGCUGAGGAGAGGAAUGGCAAGAGCCAUGCCAUUAUCUCGGAAAGCAAGGGAGGGUUAGUGUCUUGGGUCCGUCUGGGGCUGGCGAGUGUGGGACUGUUCAUAGAAGGGCUGAUCCAGUGCACGAAGGAUGGGAAAGAUGGAAGAUGGGAGAAGGGCUGGAAAGAAAAAGGGAGGAUCUAUUCCCUGGUGAGAGAGGCUAAUAGGGUCGGGAGCUUCAUCCGCCUAGGGGUGACGGACCUGGAGAAAAGGAGAUUUGGUAUCUGUAUACCAAAAGGGAAAGGGGAAAAAGGAGGAUGGGUUUCUAUGGUGGAGUCCUUACUGAGGGUAGGAUUUCGGCGCGAGGAAAAGGAAGUUGAUCGAGGAGUAAGGGUUUUUGGUAGGUCGUAUGUGGAAGUGGCCAGGGGCUCAGAGCUCAGGGAUACUUCAAGGGUCAGAGUAGAGACAAAGGAGGAGGAAAUAAGGAACAAUGUGAGCAUAUUGAAGCAAUGCCUGAUAGGUAAUUGGAACCCUAAAUCAGCACGAGAAGAGGACCUAGCGAGAUUGGGGUGGUCAGUGGCAAGAGCGUGGGGAUUGAAAGGUAAAUUAGGCCUGGCUAGACUGGGAAAGGGCUAUGCUCUGUUGGAAUUUGAGACGGUGGAAGAAGCCAAGAGGGUUCUCGCCUCGGGGGUGAGAUCAGUGGGAGGGACCCAACUGGGUUUGGAGAUGUGGAGCCCGAGGUUUGGAUGCUCUGCAGAGGAUGAAGAUAGGAAAGAAGCUUGGGUGAGGAUCCUGGGUCUUCCAAUCUCGCUGUGGGUGCCGUCGAUCUUGAGGAGAGUGGUGGAAGAGUGCAGUGGGUUCCUAGGCAUCGAUCCUCUAACGGAAAGGAAAGAGGACUUGGAAUGGGCAAGGAUCCAGGUAAAGCUGAAUGGAGGGGCCUUGCCGAGUUCGAUGGAGAUUGGGGUGGAGGGGGAGGUAUACGUCGUAUCUUUGUGGUGGGAGAUUCCGCCGGCAAUAAGGAAAAAACAGGGGGAUGGCCGUGAUGAAUUUGGGCAGCAGAGAGGGGAGGUUAGGGGUGAUGGUGAUCCACGCGCGGGAUGGCGUGUGGGAGAAAAGCCGGGCGUUGGACCCAAGGAACAACGUCGGUCAGAGGAAGUGACAGGAGAGCAGGUGGAAGGGGAGGGUGGGGUUGGGUUUGAAAACUGGACCCAUCUCGGGCAGGUGACCCGACAGAGUUCUAGAUCCGCGGGCGAUGGGUCGAGUUCAUCCGGAUCAGGGCUUGGCCCCGUGGGCCUGAAGCGGGACUAUGGGCCAACUACGCAAGGCCCGCUUCUUUCUAAAGGGGUUGAAUUGGCUGCAGAUGGGAUAGAGCGUGGGCCGGCUGAGGGACGGGCCUCCGAAGGGCUGGAGCUCCUGUCCCAUGGGCCUACUAUUUCGGUUGGGGGCUAUCUGGGCCAAUUGCAGACUAAAUACAUGGGCAUAGUGUCACAAGCUGAUCCAAAUGAGCCUCCCCAUGACCUUAUAUAGAGCUAGGAAGCUUCUGGAGACUCCUAGAGUGGGAAGAGUGUGGAAGGUUCUAGAGAAGUCUGGAGGAAUCCACACAAUUCUACACCAUGGUAGAAGGCACGAGAGGAGUCCGGGGCUUUCUAGAGAAAUCUAGAAGACUCUUGUAUAUACUUGUAUAUAGGCUUGUACCUAGAAUGAUGUAGGACAUUCUAGAAUAGUCUUGAGUUGUAAGGAACCCUCCAAGGUUCUAGAGAGUUCCAUUGGUGCCUAUAAAUAGGUGAGGGCCUCAUUUGGCCAAGGCACCAAACAAGUGAGCAUCCAAGCACUUGUAAAUGCUUUCUUGAGUUAAUAAGAGUUUCCAUUCUUUAAGGAGUUGCCUACUAAGCUCUUAAGCUUUCGAGUCACGAGUGUCUUAGCUGAGCAAGCUAAGCGUUGGGGAUCAAGGCUGACUUAGCAAGAUCAAGCGUCUUGACUUGCCUAAGUGCCGCACGAGCUUAGUGAACGACUAAGUCCGUGACAAGUGGUAUCAGAGCGUGGCUACGAAGCGGGCAUAACGGAAGCAUGUCGGGCUCUAACGUGGAGGAGACUAGCGAACAAACCCGUGGGAGGGAGGCCGAGCCUACUGCAAGGGGCAGGGGCAGAGGUAAGAAGGAUACAUCUCGUGAUGUUGUUGCCAACAUGGAGGCAAGGUUAGCCAAGGUGGAGCUAGCCAUGGCAGACACCCGGGAAGGGGUGGACUUGAUCGAGCAAGGCAUGGAGAAGGGCUUAGAGGAUCUAAGGGAGCAGAUCCAAGACCUUCGCGAAGGGGUGCUGGUCUCGCAAGUUCAGUCGGUGUCACACGAGGAGUUCAUGUCCUUCCAAGACAAGGUCAUGAGCAUGUUCGCUAGUGUGGAGUCAAGGAUGGAGGCCUUGACUGCACGAGUGGAGGCCCGAGACCAAGAGAUUCGACAAGAGUUGACCAUCUAUAAGAUCGCUGUAUCAGCACGAGUCAUGGCCACUCAUGAGGCACCAAGGGUGGAGGUGCCCAAGCCACACACGUUCAAUGGCAAGAGGGAUGCCAAGGAGCUAGAUAACUUCUUGUGGCACAUAGAGCAUUACUUUGAGGCAAUUGCAUUGACGGAUGAAGCCACUAAGGUACGCACCGCGACCCUUUACCUCACUGAUAAUGCUACUCUAUGGUGGCGUCGACGAUUUGCCGACAUAGAGAGAGGGACGUGCACCAUAGACACAUGGGAUGCCUUUAAGAAAGAAAUCAAGAGGCAAUUCUAUCCCGAAGACGUGGCUUACCUAGCAAGGAAGAGUUUGAAGCGUCUCAAGCACACGGGCUCGAUCCGUGAGUAUGUCAAAGAAUUCUCUACUCUUAUGCUUGAGAUACCUAACAUGGCUGAGGAGGAGCUACUGUUCAACUUCAUGGACAACUUGCAAAGCUGGGCCGAGCAAGAGUUGAGGAGACGUGGUGUCUAAGACUUAGCCACGGCCAUGGCAGUAGCCGAGUCCUUAGUAGAUUAUAGAAGGGGAGACUCCUCCAAGCCCAAGUCACCAUCCAAGGGUAACCAGGCCAAAGGUGGGGGAGACAAGAGGUCGCAGGGCCACACUCCUAAGGAAGGAUCAAGCAAAGGCCCUAGUGGCAAGGAUGACAAAGGCAAAGACAAGCGAAAGGAGUUCACGCCCAGGACCAAUUGCUUCUUGUGUGAUGGUCCGCACUGGGCACGAGACUGCCCUAAGAGGAAGGCUUUAAAUGCUAUGAUCGAGGAAAAUGAGCAGGAGGGCGAUGCUAAAGUGGGAUCGUUGCAGCUCCUAAAUGCCCUUAAGGCCAAGCCGAUGCCUAAAACGCCUCAAAGCAAAGGGCUGAUGUAUGUGGAGGCCCUUGUGAAUGGAAGGCCACCAAGGCCCUGGUGGACACAGGUGCCACUCACAACUUUGUCUCGGAGGAUGAGGCAAGAAGGUUGGAGCUCCAAGCAUCCAAGGAAGGAGGAUGACUCAAGGCAGUCAAUUCAGCCGCUAAGCCAUCACAUGGAGUAGCUCGCGGGGUGACUAUGCACAUCGGCUCGUGGGAAGGAAGGGUCGACUUCACAGUGGCACCCAUGGACGACUUCAAGAUGGUGCUAGGAAUGGACUUCCUACAGAAGGUCAAGGCCGUGCCACUACCUUUCCUACGCUCAAUGGCUAUCCUAGAGGAGGAGAAGCCGUGCAUGGUCCCUACGGUCAAUGAAGGUACGCUCAAGACCCCUAUGCUAUCCGCUAUGCAAGUAAAGAAGGGGUUAAAGAAGGAAGAGGUGACCUACCUCGCCACCCUGAAGGAAGAGAAGGAUGAUGGGUCGGGAGAACCCAUGCCUAAGGAAAUUGAGGGGGUCCUUGAUGAAUUCAAGGACGUAAUGUUGCCCGAGUUACCUAAGAGACUUCCUCCUAGGAGAGAGGAAGAUCAUAAGCUUGAGUUGGAGCCGGGAGCCAAGCCCCCUGCUAUGGGGCCAUAUAGGAUGGCACCACCCGAGUUGGAGGAGCUAAGGAGACAACUCAAGGAGUUGCUGGAUGCGGGGUUCAUCCAACCAUCCAAGGCUCCCUAUGGCGCGCCGGUUCUAUUUCAGAAGAAGCAUGAUGGGUCCCUACGAAUGUGCAUAGAUUACCGGGCACUCAACAAGGUGACGGUGAAGAACAAGUAUCCCAUCCCGCUCAUUGCUGACUUGUUCGAUCAACUUGGAAGGGCAAGGUACUUCACGAAGCUGGACUUAAGGUCAGGCUACUACCAAGUCAGGAUUGCGGAGGGAGAUGAGCCGAAGACUACAUGUGUGACCAGGUAUGGCUCAUAUGAGUUCUUAGUGAUGCCUUUCGGACUCACCAAUGCCCCAGCAACGUUUUGCACCCUCAUGAACAAGAUCUUCCACCCAUACUUGGACAAGUUUGUGGUGGUGUACUUGGAUGACAUAGUCAUCUAUAGUAACACUCUAAAGGAGCAUGAAGAGCACUUGAGGAAGGUCUUUAAGAUCUUGAGGCAUAACAAGCUAUACGUGAAGAAGGAGAAGUGCUCGUUUGCUAAGGAAGAAGUGAGCUUCCUAGGGCAUCGCAUCAGAGAUGGCAAACUAAUGAUGGAUGAUAGCAAGGUGAAAGCCAUCCAGGAGUGGGAUCCACCAACCAAGAAGAAUAAGGCAUCGGAAUGGGAUGAAAGGUGCCAACAAGCCUUUGAGGACCUGAAGAAGGCUGUGACUGAAGAGCCAGUGUUGGCACUACCCGACCACACCAAGGUCUUUGAGGUACACACAGAUGCCUCAGACUUCGCUAUUAGGGGAGUCCUUAUGCAAGAAAGGCACCCAAUCGCAUUUGAGAGUCGCAAGCUAAACGACGCAGAGAGGCGUUACACGGUGCAAGAAAAGGAGAUGACCGCUAUCGUCCACUGCUUGCGCACUUGGAGGCAUUAUCUGCUAGGGUCUCACUUCAUAGUGAAGACCGACAAUGUGGCCACUAGCUACUUCCAGACGCAGAAGAAGCUGAGUCCUAAACAAGCUAGGUGGCAAGACUUCCUGGCCGAGUUCGACUAUACGCUGGAGUAUAAGCCGGGAAGUACUAAUCAUGUGGCCGACGCCCUAAGCCGCAAAGCCGAGCUAGCGUCUAUGACGAGUCAACCCCAAGGAGACAUAAUAGAUCUUCUAAGGGAAGGAUUGCAACAUGAUCCAGUGGCUAAGAGCCUCAUCGCCCUGGCUCAUGAAGGGAAGACCAAGCGGUUUUGGGUGGAGGACGGCUCACUCUACACAAAAGGGAGACGACUCUACGUGCCUAAGUGGGGGAACAUAAGGCGGAACCUGAUUAAGGAGUGUCAUGACACCAAGUGGGCAGGGCACCCUGGGCAACGACGCACUAGGGCACUACUCGAGUCGGCUUACUAUUGGCCUCAGAUACGGGACGAGGUUGAGGCCUAUGUGAGGACUUGUCUUGUGUGCCAACAAGACAAGGUGGAAUAGCGACAACCUAGAGGCCUGUUAGAGCCACUACCUGUAGUAGAACGUCCAUGGGACAACAUCACCAUGGACUUCAUCAUCGGGCUACCUAAGUCGGAGGACAGCGGCUCUAUCAUAGUGGUGGUGGACAGGUUCUCUAAGUAUGAAACUUUCAUAGCAGCCCCGACCGACUGCACUGCGGAAGAGACGGCGAGGCUAUUCCUAAAACACGUAGUCAAGUAUUGGGGGUUGCCUAAGUUCAUCAUCAGUGAUCGCGAUCCGCGCUUCACUGGGAAGUUUUGGACGGAGCUCUUCAAGCUUAUGGGUUCGGAGCUUCACUUCUCCACAAGCUUUCACCCAUAGACGGAUGGGCAGACUGAGAGGGUGAAUGCCUUACUGGAGCUCUACCUAAGGCACUUCGUAAGUGCCAACCAGAAGGAUUGGGCCAAGUUACUAGACAUAGCCCAGUUCUCAUACAACCUGCAAAGGAGUGAGGCGACCAAUAAGAGCCCGUUCGAGCUAGCUACGGGACAACAACCGUUAACUCCUCACACCCUAACAAUUGGCUACACGGGGAGAAGUCUAGCGGCUUUCAAGUUCGCGAAAGGGUGGCAUGAGCAAGCUGACAUAGCCCGUUCAUACUUGGACAAGGCCGCUAAGAAAAUGAAGAAGUGGGCUGACAAGAAGCGACGACACACGGAGUACAAGGUCGGAGACAUGGUACUUGUCAAGCUCCUUCCUCAACAAUUCAAGUCCCUAAGGCCGAUGCAUAAGGGCCUUGUAAGGAGGUAUGAAGGACCCUUCCCCAUACUUGGGAAGGUCGGCAAGGUGUCCUAUAGAGUCGAGCUGCCCCCGAGGUUGAAGAUUCAUCCUGUCUUCCACGCAAGCUACUUGAAGCCCUAUCACGAAGACAAGGAUGAUCCAAGUCGAGGGUUGUCUAAAAGGGCACCUACAGCGGUCGUGACCUCCUAUGACAAGGAGGUAGAACACGUCCUCGCAGACCGGGUCAUCAGGAGACGAGGGGUACCUCCUGCUACGGAAUACUUAGUGAAAUGGAAGGGACUACCAGAAAGUGAGGCUAGCUGGGAGCCAGUAGAGGCACUAUGGCAGUUCCAAGAACAGAUCGAGCAGUUCCGAGCAGAAGGCGUGACGAGGACGUCUGCGGCAUAGGUGGGGGAGAGUGUCACAAGCUGAUCCAAAUGAGCCUUCCCAUGGCCUUAUAUAGAGCCAGGAAGCUUCUGGAGACUCCUAGAGUGGGAAGAGUGUGGAAGGUUUUAGAGAAGUCUGGAGGAAUCCACACAAUUCUACACCAUGGUAGAAGGCACGAGAGGAGUCCGGGGCUUUCUAGAGAAAUCUAGAAGACUCUUGUAUAUACUUGUAUAUAGGCUUGUACCUAGAAUGAUGUAGGACAUUCUAGAAUAGUCUUGAGUUGUAAGGAACCCUCCAAGGUUCUAGAGAGUUCCAUUGGUGCCUAUAAAUAGGUGAGGGCCUCAUUUGGCCAAGACACCAAACAAGUGAGCAUCCAAGCACUUGUAAAGGCUUUCUUGAGUUAAUAAGAGCUUCCAUUCUUUAAGGAGUUGCCUACUAAGCUCUUAAGCUUUCGAGUCGCGAGUGUUUUAGCUGAGCAAGCUAAGCGUUGGGGAUCAAGGCUGACUUAGCAAGAUCAAGCGUCUUGACUUGCCUAAGUGCCGCACGAGCUUAGUGAACGACUAAGUCCGUGACAAUAGGCUCUGAAGAGGAUCUGGGCCUAAAGAUGGAAAUGGAAUUCAUCAAGUGUCGUGAGAAGGAGAUUAGUGGGAAGUAGAUGCCGGCUCUCUAGUGCUCCAUGGCAGAGAGAGAGAUCGUGGAUGAAGCCUUCAGGUAUGGGUCCUCUUCAAAUCUAAGGGUUGGGGAAUCCUCUCUCUUUUCUUCUUCUCUUUUUGGUCGGACUCCGGAGAGGGAGUUUUGCGACCACUCUGGGGAUUUAAGGGAGAGCCGCCAGAAAGAAAAUAAGAUGGAGCUUGCAGCUACAGGGGGGGAUACAACGAGUAGAGAGGGCUGUUGGGACCUGAUUGAAAUCAAUUGUGACGCUUUAGAGGUUCAAAACCCGGAAUGGUCUCCAAUUCUGUCUGGGCCCCAGGUUCUAAGGAGCGAGAAGGAGACUAAUUGGGAGGAAAGUAGCUUGGCUAAGUUUAGCAAGCUGUUGGGAUUUUCAAUAGAAGUCCUGGAGAGGGAAAUUUUGGAUUUUUUGUCCAAAAUUAGGAAAAGACGGGAAAUGAUACAUAGCAAAGGGUUACUGGAGAAAUCAAAAUUUGAGAGGGAGCUCAAAAGGCUGGAAUGUUCAGUCAAAUAUAAGGGGAAGGACAAGAAGAACAAUCAUUUAAAAAGUAGAGGGGGCCAAUUAUUGUUGGGUUAAUGAAUCUCAAACUGAUGAGUUGGAAUGUGAGGGGUGCAAAUGACGUUAAUAAAAGAAGGAUUAUUAAGUCUGUGGUUAGAAAACAGAAGGUGGACUUGGUUUGUAUCCAGGAGACAAAAAUUCAGUUAAUGAUUGAUGGGGUGGUGAAAAGUUUAGGGGUGGGGAGAUUCUUUAGAUUGGAGAACUCUUGAAGCUGCUGGAGCAGCUGGAGGUGUGUUGAUUUGUUGGGACAAAAGGUCCUUGGAAAUGGUGGAUUGAGAGGAGGGCCAAUUCUCAAUCUCUUGUAAAUUCAGAAUUGUGGACAAUGGGGCAGUCUGGGUGUUCACAGGUGUUUAUGGCCCUUUCACCAAAGAGGAUAGGGAGUGUCUUUGUGAUGAACUUGGAGCAGUCAGAGGUCUUUGGGGUGAUCCAUGGUGUGUAGGGGGAGAUUUUAAUGUUAUUCUCGCUCAAGAGGACAGAAGCAGGUAAGGGAGGGUGACUCCAGCUAUGAGGAGGUUUGCUCAGGUUAUGGAUGACCUUGAGCUAAUCGACCUUCCCCUUCAAGGAGGCUUUUUCACGUGGAGUGGGGGGCUUCAUAAUCAAGCCUGGGCCAGGCUAGAUUGAUUUUUGGUUUCUCCCAGAUGGCUUGAACAGUUCAGCAAUGUGACUUAGAAGAGAUUAUCUCGGCCUAUAUCAGAUCAUUUUCCAAUCAUAAUCGAGGGGGGUGGCAAAAGAAGAGGCCCUUCACCUUUCAGGUUCGAGAACAUGUGGCUGAAAGUGGAAGGGUUUAAGGACCUCUUGAGGAGUUGGUGGCAGGGGAUGUCGGUCAGUGGUAGGGCUAGCUAUAAGUUGGCAACAAAACUGAAGGGGAUUAAACAAAACUUAAAAGUUUGGAACAGGGAGGUGUUUGGGCACUUGGAGAGUAAUAAAUUGGCUGCCUUACAGCAUGUGGACUAUUGGGACCAAGUGGAAAGUGAGAGGAGUCUGUCAGAGGAGGAAUUUUCCAGAAAGAAAGAAGCGAAAGAAGGCUAUGCUAAGUGGGUUAAGUUGGAAGAGAUUCACUGGCGACAACUCUCAAGGGAGCUGUGGCUAAGAGAAGGGGAUAAAAAUAUGGGGUAUUUUCAUCGAAUGGCAAACGCGCACUGAAGAUGGCAUACCAUGGAAAGAAUAAAAAUCAAUGGGGCCUGGCUGUCAGAGGAGCAUGCAGUUAGGACCGGAAUAGUAGACGCCUUUUGUCGGUUAAUAAUCGGAAGACUCGGAGUGAAAGGCAGAUAUAGGGGGGUUAAAUCUGAAUCAGAUUAGCCAACAAGAGGCGGACAUCUUGGAGCUGCCAUUCAUGGAAGAGGAGGUCCAUUCGGCCCUAAUGGACAUGAAUGGGGACAAGGCUCCAGGUCCGGAUGGCUUUACAGGAGCCUUUUGGCAAUUCUGCUGGGAGUUCGUGAAGGAGAAGGUUUUGGAGAUGUUCAAGGAAUUCCAUGAGCAUAAUGCUUUUCUCAAGAGUCUUAAUACCACGUUUUUGGUUCUGAUCCCCAAAAAAGGAGGAGCGGAGGAGCUGGGGGACUUUAGGCCGAUCAGUCUCUUGGGCGGGUUAUACAAACUCUUGGCUAAGGUGCUGGCCAAUAGGAUUAAAAACGUGAUUGGUAGAGUGGUCUCUUCAGACCAGAACGCUUUUGUCAUGGGUAGGCAGAUUUUGGAUGCGUCCCUAAUCGCAAAUGAGGUGAUUGACUCGUGGAAAAAAGAAGGAAAGAAGGGCCUGAUCUGCAAACUAGAUAUUGAAAAGGCGUACGACAGCGUCAAUUGGGGUUUCCUGAUGAGGGUUAUGGAAAAAAUGGGUUUUGGGACUAAGUGGAGGGAGUGGAUAUGGAGCUGUAUAUCGACUGCUAAGUUCUCUGUGUUAGUAAAUGGGGAGCCAGCUGGGUUCUUCUCUAGCUCUAAGGGGCUUCGGCAAGGCGACCCUCUAUCCCCAUAUUUGUUUAUCAUGGGAAUGGAGGUGCUGAGUGCCCUUAUUCGGAGGGCUGUGGAAGGGGGCUGCAUCACUGGAUGUAGAAUCCAGAGGGGUAGGGGGCAGGCUGUUAGCAUCUCUCACCUUCUCUUUGCGGACGAUGCCAUAGUUUUCUGUGAGGCUAAGAAAGAUAAUAUGACUUUUUUGAGCUGGACCUUAUGUUGGUUUGAAGCCGCUUCAGGGCUGAGGAUUAAUUUGGCUAAAAGCGAAAUUAUUCCAGUGGGGGAGGUGGAUGAGAUCCUUGAGAUGGCUGUGGAGCUGGGUUGCAAGGUAGGUCAGCUGCCAUCAACCUACCUGGGGCUGCCUCUGGGUGCGCCUAAUAAAACUGGUUACGUGUGGGAUGGGGUGGAAGAACGGAUGAGGUGGAAAUUAGCCCUUUGGAAGCGGCAAUACCUCUCUAAGGGUGGUAGAAUCACCCUCAUAAAGAGUACACUGGCUAGCAUGCCAUUAUAUCAAUUGUCCCUCUUCCGUAUGCCUAAGGUAGUGGCAAGAAGACUAGAAAAAUUGCAAAGAGAUUUCUUGUGGGGAGGGGGAAGUACGGAAAGAAAAGCACACCUAGUCAGUUGGGAGAGGGUGUGUGUGAGUAAGGAGAAAAGGGGGNNNNNNNNNNNNNNNNNNNNNNNNNNNNNNNNNNNNNNNNNNNNNNNNNNNNNNNNNNNNNNNNNNNNNNNNNNNNNNNNNNNNNNNNNNNNNNNNNNNNUUGGUUUGAGGAAACUAGUCCAAUUGAACAAAGCCCUUCUUGGAAAAUGGGUGUGGAGAUUUGCUCGUGCCAAGGAGGAGAUGUGGAAAUGUGUUCUUAUGGCAAAAUAUGGGCAAGACGAAUUUGGGUGGAGAACUAAAAAAGCAAAUGGGGCGUUUGGUGUUGGGCUAUGGAAGGAGAUUUUGAAAGAAGCUGAUUGGUGUUGGGACAAUAUGACUUUUAAGGUAGGAAAAGGCACCAGAAUCAGGUUUUGGAAGGACCCUUGGUGUGGGGAUGUGGAGCUGGCCCGGAGGUUCCCUCAACUCUUCAAUGUGGCUGCCCAAAAGAGUGCCACUGUGGGGGAUUUAUGGGACCAGAAUUCUGGCCAAGGAGGCUGGAACCUAAGGUUUAUUAGAGGCCUCAAUGAUUGGGAGCUGACCUUGGUUGACGAAUUGCUUCAAAUUCUAAGGAGCCAAAGAAUUACCUUGGAGGAGGACUUUGGCCUUAUGGAAGGGGGGAAAAAAUGGGAAGUUUGACGUCAAGGAUGCGUAUGGGCUGUUGACCAGUCAUAGUAUCCCUUUGUUUCCCAAAAAGGGCAUUUAGGUGGAGAACGUUCCUUCCAAGCUAGCGUUUUUUGCGUGGGAAGCUACUUGGGGGAGGGUUCUUACUAUUGAUAGGCUUCAAAAUAGAGGAUGGCAAAUUCCUAACCGGUGUUAUUUAUGUGUUAGUGAUGAGGAAAAUUUUAAUCAUCUCCUUAUUCAUUGUACAGUGGCUAGCGUGUUGUGGGGGAUGGUUCUUAGUCUGUUUGGAGCCCAAUGGGUCUCUCUAGAAACUGUAAAGGAGGCGGUUAUCAGCUGGAAGGGUUCUUUUGUGGGUAAAAAGAGGAAGAAAAUUUGGAGAUCCAUACCGUUAUUUAUUUUUUGGACGGUGUGGAAGGAAAGGAAUAGAUUAGCAUUCGGGGGGGGGAGUUAGCUAUGUAGAAAGUUAAGUAUUCUUUUGUUUGUAAUAUGUGGGGGUGGGCAAAAUUGUAUAAUGGUGCGGAGUCUCGCUCCCUUAUAGGUUUCCUGGAGUGGAUAGCCUCCAGUUAAGGGCUGGUGGGUUUUUGUUGUUUUUUGGUCCUUUGUUGUGAGGCCUUCGUCGCCUCGUAUACUCCCUGUAUGCUAUGCGGCACUUUGCCUUUUGCUAAUAUAUGUGUGUUUACUUAUCGAAAAAAAAAGUAAGUUGAAAGACCAUUUGUCCAUUUGAAUCUAGCUUGAUUGAUAUUGAGAAAGAAUCUAAUAUCAUCUCUAUGCAACUAAAUUUACUAGAUUUCCAUAUUAUGAAUACCCCUCCUCUUGCCACACAAGCCGAAAGAUUAGCCUAGUCCUUAUUCUUAAUGGUUUACACAUUUCUCACUAAUCUUUUAUCGCACUUUGCUUUCCUUGUUUCCUUAAGCAUCUCUAUAUAAAGAUAUAAAUUCCUUAAUUACCCUUCUUUUCUUUCUUUACUCCAAACCACAAAUGUUCUAGCUUAUGAUCCUUGUGCCAAAUCUUAGAAGCCCAACUACUAACUCCCUCUAAACAUCAUUCCCCUUGAUAAUAGAUUUGUAAAUCCUCCUAAUGUUCUCCUUAUCCUUAGACCUAACACUAUUAUUGUUGAGGGAAAGAAAAUUCUCAUUAUGUUUGAUAAGUUUGACAUUCAUAGAGGUUAGAAUAGAUUUAACACUUUCCAUUUAGCUAAGAGUGAGCCCUUUAAUGUGAAAACCUUCUAAUGCUGAAGGGUUUGGGUUUAUAUUUGUUCUUCAAUAGGCAAAAGAACCUUCGUGGAUGCACUAGGCAAGGACCUAGGGAAAGUAUCUCUUGUAAACAUAGGGCAAGAGGGAGCUAUGGAACAGUCCAAUUCAACAAAUUUGGGACAACCAACACUAGAGUCAAGUACUGCACCAUUUUUUAUUUAUUUAUAAAAAAGGUUAAUUAAGGAUAAUGGAUUUGAUGGGGUUAGAGAUGGCUAUGUAGAAUUGAGGACUAAAGGGCCAAAGGUGAUUGAAUGAAGAACUUUUAGGGUCACGGGGGAUAGGUAAGAGGGAGUUUAGGAUGGAAAUGCAUGAGCCAUGGGUACCUCUCUUAACCUAUUAAAAGACAGAUCACACCACCCAUCUAAGUUCAUGUCCUUAGUAAUGACUACUAGACUUGAACUAAUGAACCAUAGUGAGAACUCCCUCCAAUUCUUACAUCCUCUAGGUCAUAGUCUGUUUUCUUUUCUAGUGUGGUUUUGAGUGCCAUAGGAUUUAGGACCACCAUUGCGUUAUCUAUCAUAGACUACAUUGCUUUUGAGGGAAAUGUGCUCCUACCCUCCUACCAAUAAAAUCUUUUGAUCUUCUCAAUGAUAAUUUUGCUAAGAUUAAGGCUACCUCUUAGCUCAACUGAUCCACAGUCCAAUAGAUGUUUUUUACAUUGUAAAUCCCUUAGGAUCCUAUAGUAGGAGGUAGCAAUUGGUAAUAGUCCAUUGAUGGAGGGAGGGAAACACCAAUUUUGUAACCCUUGAUGACUAAGAGAUCUAGAAGAAUUGGAGAGCAAUUGUAGAGAGAAAGACUUUUGCGUCAUUGUUUUAGGUUGGGUUCCUUGCCUUGUGAUUGUUGUUUGUUUAGGCUUUUGAAAUUUUAUGAUUAUAUAAUGGGCAUCCCUUUACUAUCAUCUACUAUUAGCCCACGCAAUGUCUUGGGCUCCCUUCAAAAUAAAAAGUGCACUUCCUUUCCUUUAAAACCACCCUUUUCAGACUAGACCAAUAACUAUGUUUGGCCUACACUACACCUUAGUGUCACAAGUUGAUCCAAAUGAGCCUCCCCAUGGCCUUAUAUAGAGCUAGGAAGCUUCUGGAGACUCCCAGAGUGGGAAGAGUGUGGAAGGUUCUAGAGAAGUCUGGAGGAAUCCACACAAUUCUACACCAUGGUAGAAGGCACGAGAGGAGUCCGGGGCUUUCUAGAGAAAUCUAGAAGACUCUUGUAUAUACUUGUAUAUAGGCUUGUACCUAGAAUGAUGUAGGACAUUCUAGAAUAGUCUUGAGUUGUAAGGAACCCUCCAAGGUUCUAGAGAGUUCCAUUGGUGCCUAUAAAUAGGUGAGGGUCUCAUUUGGUCAAGGCACCAAGCAAGUGAGCUUCCAAGCACUUGUAAAAGCUUCUUUGAGUAAUAAAGAGCUUCCAUUCUUUAAGGAGUUGCCCACUAAGCCUCUUAAGCUUUCGAGUCACGAGUGUCUUAGCCGAGCAAGCUAAGCAUUGGGGAUCAAGGCUGACUUAGCAAGAUCAAGUGUCUUGACUUGCCUAAGUGCCGCACGAGCUUAGUGAACGACUAAGUCCGUGACAUUAGGCUCCUAUUAGUGAAAAAGGCCUCCUUCCUUACCCUUAACUUCUCUUUUUCUACUCGCCUAAACUUGAGAAAUUAGCCAACUUAGAGUUUGGAUAGGAAUUGGUCUGAUUUGAUCUUUGAUGGAUUGAAAAAUAUAAAUUUUGAAUUUGAAAUAAUGUGGUAUGAAGUAUAACUGUCCACCACUAGCUCCUUUCUAUUACUACGUGACCUAUAAGGCUAUAAUGUUGAGUCAUCUCAACCCUUCUACUCCAAUCCUAUCCUUAAUUUUUUUUUUUUUUUUUUGAUAAGCAAACAGAGAAUCUAUUAAAGAGUGCCGGUGAAAGGGAGUGCGCAACCUAUGCGUACAAGAUCUACUCCUAUCCUUAAUGAUUCCCACACCUUACUAAGUCACAUUGGCUUCUACCCAGAGUUAACCUAAGGAUAACUCAUUGACCAUUUUCAUCUUCUUCAACUAAUGAUACUGUUGUUGUGAAAACCCAAGCCCAAUUUGAGAUUUUUAGUGUCGUCAAAAUCAUUGUGUGCUCCUUUACCUUAAUUUUUAGAUGAAUCUUGGAAAGAUCGUGUUGAAAUUCGGCAUUCAAAGUUAGAGUUUUAAUUUAGGAAAGUAUUUUAGGAAUAAAAAAAGGGAGAGAUCAUUUAGGAUAUUUCCUUAGGAUUCAGUUUCCUAUUUUUUAGGAGAGAAUCAAGCUAGAUAGAUAUUUUCUUAUUCAGUCAUUUGUAUAUAUAUAUAUGUGUAUGGUGUGUACCGAAAUAAUAAUAAUAAAGGAGUUCAGAAAUUCUUCAUGGUAUCAGAGCCAGUUUUUCUGAAACUCUAAUCUCUUCUAGCCAUCUCUUAUUCAGGCCAUCAUUCAUUCCAGCCACACCUCUUUGGCCAUUUCUCAAUCCGGCUAUCUCUCUCUCUGGCCAUCACUCAUUCCGGCCAAGUCUCUCUGGCCAUCUCUCAAUCCUACCAUCUCUCUCUCUGGCCAUCUCUCAUUCCGGCCAUCAGUCCCUGUUUUCAGGCCGAUAUCUCUGGUUUUCUCCUCUUCCCUAUUUCCAACAACCAUAUUCGGCUGUCUUCUUCAUCUCCAUGACAAAAUACGGAAUGACAUCAUCACAAAUAUCCAGCGUCACGACACCAGAAUUAGGGGGCAGUUAUGAAAUUCCAAACCUUGGUGGCAGUGAUUCCUCUCCUAUUCUCAUCACAGGACACAAAUUAAAUGGCCAUAACUAUUUACAGUGGUCACAAUCUGUGUUGCUGUUCAUUUGCGGUAAAGGACAGGAUGAGUACCUCACUGGAGAAGCAGCCAUGCCAGAAACUAUAGAACUUGGUUUCAGGAAGUGGAAGAUUGAAAACAACAUGAUCAUGUCAUGGCUUAUCAAUUCCAUGAACAAUGACAUAGGUGAAAAUUUCUUGCCGUUUAGGACUGCAAAGGACAUAUGGGAUGCAGCCAAAGAAACUUACUCAAGUUCUGAAAAUACUUCAGAACUUUUUCAGAUUGAAUCAACCCUACAUGACUUCCGCCAAGGAGAGCAGUCAGUUACUCAGUAUUACAACACACUCACAAGGUAUUGGCAGCAACUUAACUUAUUCGAGACUCAGUCAUGGAAAUGUUCAGAUGAUGCAGCAACAUACAGGCAGAUUGUGGAACAAAAGAGAUUGUUCAAGUUUUUUCUAGGACUAAACAGGGAAUUGGAUGAUGUUAGAGGCCGAAUCAUGGGCAUUAAACCCCUGCCAAGUCUCAGGGAGGCUUUUUCAGAGGUUAGGCGUGAAGAAAGUAAAAAGAAAGUGAUGAUGGGAUCCAAAGAGCAACCUACCCCAACAUUGGAUGUCUUUGCCCUUGCUGCUUAGUCAUUUAAUAGUAGUGGUGGAGAUCGUCAGAAAUGUGAUAGGCCUUGGUGUGAUUAUUGUAAGAAAAUAGGCCAUUAUAAGGAGGCUUGUUGGAAGCUUCAUGGCAAACCGGCUGAUUGGAAACCAAAGCCACGGUUUGACAGAGAUAGCAGAACACACGUGGCUGCCAACUCUGAGAGCACAUCUGUUCCCGAGCCGAGUCCAUUCAACAAAGAGUAGAUGGAGAUGCUACAGAAACUAUUAAGCCAAGUUGGCAGUGGCAGUACUACCGAGACAACCUUCACUGCUAAUCGAGGAGGAAUGAAGCCGUGGAUAGUGGACACAAGUGCUUCUGAUCACAUGACAGGAGAUGUUGCCAUUCUUCAAAAUUACAAGCCAAGUAAUGGUCAUUCAUUCGUCCAUAUUGCUGAUGGUUCAAAGUCAAAAAUUGCCGGGACAGGUUCCAUAAAACUUACUAAAGAAUUGUAUCUUGACUCUGUCCUCCAUGUUCCAAACUUGGAUUGUAAUCUUUUGUCCAUUAGCAAAUUGGCCCGUGAUCUCCAAUGUGUUACUAAAUUUUAUCCAAACUCGUGUGUUUUUCAGGACUUGAAAUCGGGGAAGAUGAUUGGCAGUGCUGAACUGUGUUCCGGGCNNNNNNNNNNNNNNNNNNNNNNNNNNNNNNNNNNNNNNNNNNNNNNNNNNNNNNNNNNNNNNNNNNNNNNNNNNNNNNNNNNNNNNNNNNNNNNNNNNNNNNNNNNNNNNNNNNNNNNNNNNNNNNNNNNNNNNNNNNNNNNNNNNNNNNNNNNNNNNNNNNNNNNNNNNNNNNNNNNNNNNNNNNNNNNNNNNNNNNNNNNNNNNNNNNNNNNNNNNNNNNNNNNNNNNNNNNNNNNNNNNNNNNNNNNNNNNNNNNNNNNNNNNNNNACAUCAGGAGGAGGAAAAGACAAGAGUUGGAGCACAGAUCACAGCCAACAUGUGGCCAAUAUAUUGACUCCAUUUCAAGUCUACCUGAAGAGAACAUAGGUGAGGAUAGGGCUGGAGAGGUGUCAAUUCCCAGCAUUGAUGAUUCUACUCUGCCGAUUGCAUUGAGGAAGGGUGUUAGGAGAUGUACAGAUCAUCCAAUUGGGAAUUAUGUUACGUAUGAAGGGCUAUCACCAUCUUACAGAGCAUUUGCUACUUCUCUUGAUGAUACUCAGGUUCCCAACACAAUACAAGAGGCAUUCAAAAUUUCAGAAUGGAAGAAGGCAGUACAAGAUGAGAUUGAUGCACUUGAGAAGAAUGGGACAUGGACUAUCACAGAUUUGCCGAUUGGGAAGAGGCCCGUGGGGUGCAAGUGGAUUUUCACCAUAAAAUACAAACCAGAUGGAUCAGUCGAGAGAUUCAAGGCUCGUUUGGUAGCUAGAGGGUUUACACAAUCCUAUGGGAUAGACUAUCAGGAGACUUUUGCUCUUGUUGCAAAACUGAACACUAUCAGGAUUCUUCUCUCAUUGGCUGUCAAUCAAGAUUGGUGCUUGCAACAACUGGACAUAAAAAAUGCGUAUCUAAAUGGUGACCUAGAAGAGGAAGUCUACAUGGAAAUACCACCUGGUUUCGAAGGAAGUAUGGCAAAGAAUCAGGUUUGCAAACUCCAAAAAUCCUUGUACGGCCUUAAACAAUCUCCCCGAGCCUGGUUUGAUAGAUUCACAAAGGCAGUCUUGAAGCUGGGCUACAAACAAGAUCAGGCUGAUCAUACUCUAUUUGUCAAGAAGUCUCAUGCUGGGAAAAUGGCCAUAUUGAUAGUCUAUGUCGAUGAUAUUAUUCUAUCUGGGAAUGAUAUGGAGGAAUUACAGAAGUUGAAGAAGUAUUUGUCAGAAGAGUUUGAAGUUAAAGACCUUGGAAAUUUGAAAUAUUUCCUUGGUAUGGAAGUGGCUAGAUCAAGGAAGGGAAUUGUAGUCUCUCAAAGAAAAUACAUACUCGACCUUCUUAAGGAGACCGGUAUGCUUGGAUGCAAACCAAUUGAUACUCCUAUGGAUAGUCAGAAGAAACUUGGUAUCGAGAAAGAAAGUACACCGGUAGACAGGGGGAGAUAUCAGCGACUCGUUAGGCGCUUGAUUUAUCUCUCACACACUCGACCAGAUAUUGGCUUUGCAGUGAGUGCUGUAAGUCAAUUCAUGCACAACCCCACUGAGGAACACAUGAAAGCAGUUUACAGGAUUCUUAGAUAUUUAAAAAUGACACCAGGGAAAGGUCUAUUCUUCAGAAAGAUAGAGAAUCGUGACACUAAAGUAUACUCAGAUGCGGAUUGGGCAGGAAACAUCAUUGACAGGCGGUCCACUUCUGGAUACUGUUCUUUUGUCUGGGGAAAUCUUGUUACCUUGAGGAGUAAGAAGCAAUUAGUUGUAGCCAGAAGUAGUGCAGAAGCUGAGUACAAAGCUCUAGCACAGGGAAUCUGUGAAGGGAUUUGGAUAAAAAGGGUUCUUAGUGAACUGGGACAAACGAGUUCAUCUCUGAUUCUGAUGAUGUGUGAUAAUCAAGCAGCUAUAAGCAUAGCAAAGAAUCCCGUGCAUCAUGACAAGACCAAGCACGUUGAGAUUGACAGACACUUCAUCAUAGAGAAGGUGACUAGUGAGACAAUUAAAUUGAACUACGUUCCUACCAAGCACCAAACCGCAGACAUCCUCACCAAAGCUUUACCUAGGCCUAACUUCGAAGACUUAACUUUCAAGCUGGGAUUAUAUGAUAUAUAUUCUCCAGCUUGAGGGGGAGUGUUGAAAUUUGGCAUUCAAAGUUAGGAUUUUAAUUUAGGAAAGUAUUUUAGGAAUAAAAAAAGGGAGAGAUCAUUUAGGAUAUUUCCUUAGGAUUCAGUUUCCUAUUUUUUAGGAGAGAAUCAAGCUAAAUAGAUAUUUUCUUAUUCAGUCAUUUGUGUAUAUAUAUGUGUAUGGUGUGUACUGAAAUAAUAAUAAUAAAGGAGUUCAGAAAUUCUUCAGAUCGAUUAACUUUGAUGUGUGCCUAUCGAUUUCAAAGACCCUUUCAACACUCAUUUGUCGGUUGCAAUAGGUGCUUCUUAAUCCACAUGUCAAAAGACACUCUUUUUCAACUCAAUGCACCCCUUUUAGAAUGUACCUAGAAUCUUUGUAUUUACCCUUGGUGACUUCUUGUACACUUGAACCAUUACCGCUUCGUAUGCAUAGAUGAACCUCUUUUGAUGGAGAUAUUUUGCUUUAUCUAUGGAAUCAACAAAGAAAACCUCUUUACCACCAGAUUGCGCAUUUUCAUGUUUAAAAAAAAGAGAGGGGUUGUAAAAAAUGCAAGAGAGAGAGAGAGAGCGAGAGAGGGCGAGAGAGAGUGCGAUGGUGAGGAGGGGGAGGAGAGCUCGGCGUCGCGGAGCAGAAGGAAGGAGUGCAGUUUCACAGUGGAAUCCAAGGCGUUCGAGAUUGUUGUGGAGGAUAGAAGAGGAAAAAUCCAAGGCCUCAUUGUGGAGAAGAAGGGAGGGGUCUCGUCAUGGGUCCGAUUGGGAUCGGAUAGCCUAGGGUUUUUCUUGGAAGGGUUGAAUCUCUGUAUCAAGGAUGAGAAAGAAGACAGAUGGGAAGGGAAUGGAAGGAGCAGGGGAGACUGUAUUCUAUGACUCGAGGGACAAACAGAGCGGGGGGGUUUAUACGGCUAGGGGUCUCCGAUAUAGAGGGGAAGAGGUACCACAUCUUCAUCCUGAGAGGCAGUAGGGAUAAGAGGGGGUGGAUGACCAUGGCGGAGAAGCUUAACCAGAUGGUAGGGUUUCUUGGCAAAAACCCAGAAAACCAGAAAGGAAAGGCUGUGGAGAAGGCUGUUGUGGGAAGAUCGUAUGCAGCAAUGGUGACAAGAACACUGUCGGGUAACCCAAAUGUCAUUGCAGUGAAGGUGAAAAAGGAGGAAUCAAUAGGAUUAUUACAGAAAUUAAAUCAUUGUGUUGUGGCGAGUUGGAGAGAUAAGUCAAGGGAAGAAGAUGAUCUUGAGAAGUUGGGGCAAUUCUGGGCAAAGUCUUGGGACCUUAAGGGUAGCUUAGGGCUGGCUAAACUGGACAAGGGAAGAGCGCUGCUGAAAGUUGAAAAUUUGGAGGAGGCUAGACGAGUCAUUUCCUCUGGGAGUCGCGCGAUGGAAGGAACCCAGGUAAGGCUGGAGCACUGGAGCCCUAGGAGUGGAUGUUGGGCAGAGGAGGAAGAGAGAAAGGAAGUUUGGGUAAGGAUAGUUGGGCUCCCAAUCUCGUUAUGGAGUCCAGAGAUAUUGAAGAGAGUGGGGGAUGAAUGUGGCGGUUUUAUCACAGUCGAUGAACAGACGAAAUCGAUGGGUGAACUCCAAUGGGCCAGAAUCUUGGUGAGAUUGAGAGGAGAAUUUAGACCGAGCAUGCUGGAAAUCGAAGUGGAGGAGGAGAUUUGCGCAGUGUCCUUAUGGUGGGAAUGCUGGCCGGUGUUGAGGAGGAAGCGCAGAAACGAAGCCGGUCAUCGUAGCAGUGAGGUUAGGGGUGAGGAGGUCUCACGCGCGGGGCAGCAAGUGAUGAAGGAAUGGGUGAGCGUGAGGCUCGAGACGUUGAACCCGUUAGACGAAGGGACGGACGUGCAGGGGGUUGGGUCGGGUCGGGUUGAGGUUAGUACAGACCUAAGCUCGACAACCCGGACUUGGGCUUUAACUGGCGAACUAAAUCCUUUAAGUCCAAUCGCGGGCCCAAAGGAGACAAGGAGGGUUGGUGGGCUUGGCCUGAUGAGCGGGUCCAUGGACUUGAAGAAGAAAGGAGUGGCUACAAGUGAUUUUGAACCAAACGUAGGCCCAUCGUAUAGAAUGGAAGAUGUGGGCUGCUAUACUAAAGGCCCAGCUCCGCCUAUAGCCUGAUCAUCAAUCGAAGACCCAAGUUGCUCAAAGGCCUGCACCCAACAGCCCGAUCCAAGUGGAAAACUAAGGGAGGGCCCAAAAUCAUCAGUAGCCCAAGAGGAGACGGGCUUUCUGUUGAAGUGUCUCGCCUCCAGUUAUCCUCCAGAAUCAGAGACUUUUGUUGCGAGGGAGUCUGAGGACACAAGGAAGCUACAAGGAGUGGUUAGGCUGACAGAGACAGAUAGGGCGCUUGAAGAGGAAUCAAUGAGGUAUGGAAUGGGGUCUGGUUCUUGGGGGAAAAGGGCAUUGGGGGAUUCUCAUCUCAAUUCUUUUCUUUUUGAUCGGACUCCNNNNNNNNNNNNNNNNNNNNNNNNNNNNNNNNNNNNNNNNNNNNNNNNNNNNNNNNNNNNNNNNNNNNNNNNNNNNNNNNNNNNNNNNNNNNNNNNNNNNUUUUUUUUUUGUUGGGUCGGGGGGGGGGGGGGGGGGGGGGGGAGUUUUACGAUCAUUCUGGGGAUUUGGAUGAGGAAGUUCGGGCUGAUAACUCAAUGUGGUUAACAGUGUAUGAGGCUUGUAAUGAAAGGAUUACUGAACGUAAGGAACUGGGAGUAAUCAAAAGUAGUAGUGACAAAGGCAGGGGGAAGGAAGGGGUUGGUGACAUAUAUGAUGCUCAAGUUGAGAGAAGUGAGCCGGAGGGUAAAUGGGAAGAGAGUGGCUUGGUGAGGUUCAACCAGUUCCUGGGCUUCCCUACGGAGGGGCUGGAGAAGGAAAUAUUGAAUUUUUUGACCAAGAUUAGAAAAAGACGGGAGAAAAUUCAUAGCAAAGAGCUACUGGAAAAGUCUAAGUUUGAAAGGGAGCUAAAAAGACUGGAAUGUUCCAUAAACUAUGAGGGGGGGAUGAAACAGAAAGGCUCGAUAUAGGGCAAAGGGCGCCAAAUUGUGAUUGUCCAAUGAAGGUGAAAAUUUUGAGUUGGAACGUGAAGGGAGCAAAUGAUAGCUCCAAAAGAAAAGUGAGUAAGACGUUCAUAAGAAAUCAGAGGGUGGACUUAAUUUGUAUUCAGGAGACAAAAAUGCAGUUUAUGACGGAUAGCAUUGCGAGAAGUAUAGGCUUCGGAAGAUUCCUAGGUUGGAAAGCUGUGAAUGUGGAGGGAGCUUCGGGAGGAAUUUUUAUAUGCUGGGAUAGAAGGUCUUUGGAAAUCCUAGAUUGGGAGGAGGGACUGUUUACUCUAUCUUGCAGAUUCCGGAAUGUAGAAAAUGGGGUUGUCUGGGUUUUUACGGGAGUGUAUGACCCUUUCUCUAAAGUAGAAAGGGAUGCAUUAUGGGAAGAGUUUGGGGCGAUUAGAGGGCUGUGGGAAGACCCUUGGUGCAUAGGGGGGAUUUUAAUAUCACUUUGUUUUCGAGGGAAAGGAGUAGCCAGAGGAGAAUUAACUCAGCAAUGAGAAAAUUUGCUGAAACUGUGAAUGAUCUUGGGCUGGUGGAUCUUCCUCUUCAGGGGGGAGAUUUUACUUGGAAUGGGGACCAAAAUAAUCAGACUUGGGCAUGUCUGGACAAGUUCCUUGUGUCUCUUAGUUGGAUAGACCAAUUCAGUGGGAUUAAUCAGUGCAAGCUGCCCCGUCCGGUAUUCGAUCAUUUCCCAAUUAUGUUAGCGGGGGAUGGGAUAAGACGAGGCCCGACUCCAUUCAGAUUUGAAAACAUGUGGCUUAAGGCUGAGGGCUUCAUAGAGCUUGUAUGCAGCUGGUGGCAAGGAAUUAAUGUUAGGGGCAGUGCUAGUUACAAGUUGGCUACUAAGAUGAAGGAAAUCAAACAGAAGCUGAAAGUUUGGAAUAGAGAAGUCUUUGGUAAGCUAGAGUGCAACAAAUCUACAGCCUUGCAACAGGUGGAAUUCUGGGAUAGGGAGGAAAAUGAAAGAAUUUUGACUGUGGAGGAAUCAGAGCUUAAGAAAGAGGCAAAAGAAAAUUACAGAAAAUGGGUGAUUAUGGAGGAAACUCAUUGGAGACAGCUCUCAAGGGAAAUAUGGCUGAAGGAGGGGGAUAGAAACACGGGUUUCUUUCAUCGCAUGGCAAGUGCUCACCGUAGAAAUAAUUUUUUGGAGAGAAUUAAGAUCAAUGGGGAAUGGUUUCUAGAGGAGCAGGAAAUUAGGGAAGGAAUUGCUAAUGCGUUUAAAAAUUUACUCUCAGAAGAUACGGGGUGGAAGGUGGAUAUUGGGAGUCUUUAGCUUGAUCAGAUCAGCCAACAAGAGGCUGUGAUUUUGGAGAGGCCCUUUACAGAGGAUGAAAUCCAUGUGACUUUGAUGGAGAUGAAUGGGUAUAAAGCCCUUGGCCCGGAUGGCUUUACUCUGGCUUUUUGGCAAAGUUGUUGGGUGUUUAUUAAAGAGAAGAUUCUAGAAAUGUUCAAGGAAUUCUACGAACAUAGCUCUUUCCUCAAGAGCCUUAACAAUACUUUCUUGGUAUUGAUCCCCAAGAAAAGUGGGGCUGAGGACCUUGGAGAAUUUAGACCUAUUAGUCUCCUAGGGGGGCUUUACAAGUUAUUGGCUAAAGUGCUGGCUAACAGAUUGAAGAUAGUGGUUGGAAAGGUGGUCUCUACUUCUCAGAAUGCCUUUGUGAGGGGAAGACAAAUUCUUGACGCUUCCUUAAUUGCAAAUGAAGUGAUAGACUCGUGGCAGAAACGAAAAGAAAAGGGCCUUAUAUGCAAACUGGAUAUAGAAAAAGCUUAUGACAGUAUCAAUUGGAAGUUUUUGUUGAAGGUGUUGCAGAAAAUGGGUUUUGGGCCUAAGUGGGUGGGGUGGAUGUCGAGCUGCCUAUCUUCAGCUAAAUUUUCAGUGUUGGUUAAUGGAGUGCCUGCAGGCUUCUUUCCUAGCUCUAAAGUUCUUAGACAAGGAGAUCCCCUGUCUCCUUAUCUCUUUGUUAUGGGAAUGGAAGUGCUAGAUGUUCUUAUUAGGAGAGCUAUGGAGGGGGGUUUCUUAUCAAGGUGUAACAUAAGGGGUGGUAGUGAACCUCCUUUGAACAUCUCUCACUUGUUUUUUGCUAACGACACCAUUAUUUUCUGUGAGGCUAGAAAGGAUCAUCUAACUCAUUUAAGUUGGAUUUUAUUCUGGUUUAAAGCGGCGUCAGGCCUAAGGAUUAAUUUAGCCAAGAGUGUAAUCAUUCCAGUUGGAGAGGUGGUGGAGAUGGAGGAGUUGGCUGUUGAGCUAGGUUGCAAGGUGGGGUCCUUACCUUCUCAGUACUUGGGUCUUCCUUUAGGGGCUCUCAAUAGAGCGCCUUAUAUGUGGGAUGGGGUGAAAGAGAGAGUCAGGAGGAGACUAGCCCUUUGGAAAUGACAAUAUAUUUCUAAAGGGGGAAGAGUCACUUUAAUAAAAAGUACUUUGUCUAGCAUGCCAAUCUACCAAAUGUCUAUCUUCAGAAUGCCCAAGAUUGUUGCUAGAAGACUUGAGAAAGUGCAAAGGGACUUUUUGUGGGGAGGGGGAAAUAUGGAGGGGAAAACUCACUUGGUAAAUUGGGAGGUGGUAUGUACAGACAAGGAUAAAGGUGGGCUAGGCCUUAGGAAGCUAGCUAUGUUGAACAAAGCUUUACUUGGAAAGUGGAUAUGGAGGUUUGCUUGUGACAAAGAUAAUCUUUGGAAACAAGUGAUCAAGGUGAAGUAUGGGCAGGAGGACUUUGGUUGGAGGCCAAAGAAGGCUACCGGGGCGGUGGGAGUAGGGGUUUGGAAGGAGAUUUGGAAAAAAUCAGAAUGGUGUUGGGAUAACAUGACUUUCGGAGUAGGGAAGGGCAACACGAUCAGACUUUGGACAGAUGUGUGGUGUUCAGAGUCAACGCUGUCCCAUUGUUUUCCUCAUCUCUUUGGUAUGGCGGUUCAAAGGAACUCAACGGUUGAGGAAAUGUGGGAUCAAAAUUCGGGUCAAGGAAAUUGGAAUCUAAAUUUUUUGAGGGAUUUCAAUGAUUGGGAGUUGGAGUUGGUUGGGGAUUUUCUACACAUAUUGAGGGGUCUCAAACCCUCUUGGGAGGAAGAUUCAGUCCUGUGGAGGAAAGGAAGAAGUGGUCAAUUCAGGGUCAAGGAAGCUUAUAAUUUGUUGGUGAGGUCUAAUGAUACAAACUUUCCAUCAAGAAGCAUUUGGGUGGCAAGGGUGCCAACUAAAGUUGCUUUUUUCGCGUGGGAGGCGACGUGGGGGAGGGUGCUUACCUUGGAUAGACUUCAAAGAAGAGGACUACAACUUCCAAAUCGCUGCUUCCUGUGUGGUUGUGAGGAAGAAAGUGUAAAUCAUAUCCUUAUACAUUGUACAGUGGUUAGAGCUCUAUGGGAUAUAGUGUUUGGUUUAGUUGAUGUGAAAUGGGUUUUUCCAGAAACUGUAAAGGAGGUUUUAGUUAGCUGGAGGGGUCCGUUUGUGGGAAAGAAAAGGAAAAAGAUUUGGGACGCCAUUCCGUUGUGUAUUUUUUGGACGGUGUGGAAGGAGGGGAAUAGAUUAGCUUUUAGGGGGGGAGGGGUGUGUUGAACGUUCAGAAGCUAAAGAAUUUUUUUGUUUGUAAUCUGUGGAGUUGGGCCAAAUUGUAUGUAGGUGAGGAGGCGUUCUCCCUUAUAGGCUUCCUAGAGUGGAUAACUUCCACUUAAAGGGAGGUGAUUUUUUUGUUGUUGAUUUUUGAGGCCUUAGUUGCCUUGUAUACCUUGUGGCGUUGUGCCUUUUGAAUGCAUAUCCUUUACUUAUCAAAAAAAAAAAAAAAACCUCUUUACCACCAGGGAAAGAGGGAGAUAAAGACUACUCCUUUCAUCCCCAAAUGCUUGGCCAAAGCUCUGCCUAUUUUAAUCUUGCUCAUGUCUACUUCUGGGUUUUAGUAGACCAUUGCCCUAACCCAUCUCCCCACUAGCAUAGAACCUUCUCUUCUUAGCACUUUCUUAGCCAUGGCAUUCGCAUAAUAGAGCUUCACCAAAUGAAAGUCUAUUCUCUCCUUGACAAUUUUUGCUUACUAGUUUUUGCUACUUGUGUUCCCUUGAAGACCAUUGGUUGAGAUGGAAACAAAUUCAAAGACGAUAUGGAUUCUCUUAGUAUUUCUCACUCGUUGCUAUUUAAACCUUUUUAUAGAAUCACCUGAAAGGUUGUUUUUCGGUUUGUCACAAACUUUAAGCUUUUCAAGAAUUUGUCAUUAAUGUUCAUCUUUACCUCCAAAAGGUGCACUCUAGUGUUAACCUUAAAAUUUGUGACUAAAUCCUAGGAACCUGUCCAUCUCUAUAGCCUUCUUCAAAUAGUCCAAAAUCCAAUCAAUCUCUUCUUUCUCAAAUCCUAGGGUAAAGGAAGCUCCUUGAGUUUGCUUUGUGAUAGAAAUCCAUGGCCCUCCAUUCUUUCCUUCAAACCUUAACUCAAACGUCUCUAUCUCCAUUGAGUAAAUUCUUCUCUAGCUGUUGUCUUGCUUCAUUUUCUUUCUUUGUUUGUAUCUUACACUUUAGUUAAUUAAUCUCUCUCAAUUGUGACUAUCAAAAAUUGGUUUCUUGAUAUCACCUUGAGGAUAAGGUUGGAAUUUAAGAGAGAAGGAGUUGAUACACAUCUUUAAAUAUUCUUUACUGAUGUGUUCAUAGUUGUGAAAGGUGCGCCUAGGCUCCAUGUGGUGCGACACCAUGCUGCGGUGCCUCACCCGACUCCAAGCGUCGCCCCUUCACGAAGGCAUUGAUUAGGCGCACAAGGCGCUCGCUUCCGGCUAGCUAUGAUGUCCCAAACAAGUCUGCCUUCUUCCUCAUUCUUUUUUUUUUCCUUCUUUUGGUCUUCUUCUUCUUCUCUAGCGACUGAGUUGCAAAGGAGAACACGACAUUGCUAAGGGUUUUUUUUUUUUUUUUUAAUUUGCUAAGACCAAAAUGACUCGUUUUGGUCUUUUUCUUUUUAAAGAAUAGGGUUCAAAACAAUGUUGUUUUGGACCUGUUCUUGACUUCCAACCCCAAAUUUGCUUGUUUUGAAGCUGACAAAACCUAAAAAAAACCCCUAGCUUAGCCUCUGCCUCGUGUGCCUGUGAAGAAGAGAAGAAGACGAAGAAGAAAAGGAAAAAUAGAUGUACCUUGAAAUUUUGGAUAAUGUUUGAUGAUAUAUGUGUUUAUGACAAAUAAAUGAUUAUUAAAUUUGAUUAUAUUAUAUAAAAUUAUGUAUGUAAAAUAGGGCGUGCCUCACUUCACUAAAGCCCAUACCUUAGGUGCGCCUUGCGCCUUAGGCUCUAGGAGGACUUUGUGCCUUGGUGCAUUUUAAGCCUUUUAAAACCAUGGAUGUGUAAUUUUGAAUGGGUAAAAUUAGUUGUUGUUAGCGGGUUUUGUUGGGUUGUUUAGAUUCUAUAGGUAAUUUAUUUGGCGUUUGCCUACUUUUUAGGAAUAAGUUGUAGUUGCUAAUUUUAUUUAAAGCUGAUGAAUAAGAGGAGGGGGACACUCUAAUUUCCAACUUUUAUUUUUAUUUGGAUGUAUAAGGUUCCUUCAAAUGAAGUUGCUAUCUUAAUUAUAUUUUAGUUAUCUUCCCAAGAUAGGCAGAUGCAAGUAGACUAUAUUUCAAUUGGCUAUACUAAAUUCAUUCUUAGAAUUUUAAAAUAAAUAAAUAAAGGUUUUGAAUAUAGCAACAAGAAAAGAAAGAAAGAAAAAAAGAACGAAGAAAAAAUCAAUUAAAGUUUAUUUAUUUCUAAGGUUUCUCCGCAACCUACUCUUUCCUAAACAUAUGGUCAACCAUCUACAUACUUGCAUGGAAAUAACCUUAAUUAGUUGGUCAUGCUAGUGAUCAACAUUUAUUCUACUAAUUAGUGCAAAUUCUAACACUCAUUCUCAAGCUAGUUUGAAGAUAUUAUGCAUUCCUAGUUUGGUUGCAAUGAAGUUGAAUGUGACACUUGGAACUCUUGGUGAAAAUAUUGUUAGUUGUUGUUUGGCUGUCAUGAAAGGGGUACAAAUCUAACUGUUGUUGAUUUAUCCAUCUCAACAUGCUUUGUUCUAUCAUGUUGCUCUAUAUUGUGUGCAUUACUUAUUACAACUUUCUUGUUAAAGUAAAUCUUCAUAAUUUCUUUAGAAUCCAUUCUUUGUUCCUUAAGCAAGAUCCUAAUCUACAAUAAUUCACAAAUUCCUUAAGCUAUUGCUCAAAACUCAGCUUUUGCACUUGAUUUAACCAUAACAAGUUGCCUUUUACUUUUCCAGUGACUAGGUUUUCUCUCGGAAAUGUAUAGUAGCGCGAUGUUGAUUUUCUAUCUGUAAUGGACCUUUUCUUUACCAAGAGUUGACUUUAGGUAUCUCAAGAUUCUUUGAAUUGCAUCCAUGUAACAUUCUAAAGGUGAGUGCAUGAGUUUGGCUAACCAUGCUGAUAGCAUAGGCUAUAUCAUGCCUUAUUUGAAAUUGGUAGAUCAAUUUUCCAACAAGUCUUUGAUGUCUUCCUUUAACACUAAAAUUCCUUUUGUGAUUAAUGUAUUAGUAGGUUUAAUAAUCGUCUCAUUGAGUAGAUCUAGGAUAUACUUCUUUUGUGAGACGAAGAUUUCUUUACUUGAUCUGGUCGCUUAGAUCCUAAAAAAAUGUCUCAAGCUUGCUUUUUUUUUUUUUUUGUUUUAGAUUUUCCAUCUUCUCCUUAUCAUCGCUUGUGACAAUUAUAUUAUCUACAUGAAUAAUUUGUAUUGUGAUAUUCAUGUGUGUGGUAUGUUUAAUGAGCAAGGUAUGACUCCAUUGACUUUGACAAACCAACAUUUAAGUAAGGACUUGGUGAACUUCUCGAACCAUGUUCUAGGAGAUUGCUUCAACCUAUAUUGAUUUUUCCAAUCUACACACUUUCCUUUGAUUAAAAUGGUUCUCAAAUCCAGGUGGUAGGUUUAUGCAAACCUCUUCAUCCAAUUUUCCAUGUAGAAAAACAUUUUUUACAUCAAAUUAUUGUAAGGGCUAAACUAGAUUAGCUAUCUCGGUUAAUAGGACUCUAAUGGAGUUCAUCAUAGUGAUAAGGACAAAGAUUUCUUGAUAAAUAAUCCCAUAGGUCUUUGUGUGCCCCUUAGUCAGUAAUCUAGCCUUGCACCUCUCAUUUAACUCAUCCACCUUAUUUUUGAUGGUGAAAACCCACUUGCCCCCAUACUAGUCUUUUUCCUUGGGGUAAUUCAACCACUUCCUAAGUUUUAUUCUUAUGGAAUGUUCUCAUUUAAUGGCUUCCCUCCACUUUGGAUUGUUUAAAGCCUCUUUUACAUUUUUAGGAACAAAUUUUAUGGAGAAUUUAGUGGUGAAUGUCUUGUUGUUGGGGCUAGUUGAUGUAAAGAUAAAAAAUUUGAAAGGGGAUGUUUUUGUACAAGCUCUAACACAUUUCUAAUGAUAAUUGGAAUAUUCAAAUUUGUGUAAAAUAGAGGUGCAUAAAGAAGAAUGUUAGGAAUAUCUAUGUUUAGAGUUCAAGAUUGACUGCACGAGAGAGAAAUGGGAUAUUUGAUGUUGUCCUGCUUCCUCGAAUAGAUUAAAGAUCAAGUCCAUUUUCUGCUCUUUUUGCAUUAUUCCUGUCCACUGCAUUACACCGUCUGGUUUACCCUUUUUUUCCCUCAUUCUCCCUUGUGCAUCAUUAACUCUCUCUUUCACUGCAUCACUGAUCUGGUUGUUAGACAGAAAAUGAGGUGAUAAGAUCAUGUAAGGGAAGAUUAGGUGAUGGAUGGAUAGAAGAAGAAGGAAUAGGCAUGUAGAAAUGUAGGCAUUAAGGAAAAUAAAUUUUUAUUAACCUUCUUUUCUGAAUAAUACAUGAAGGAUACAAUACAAGUUUAUAUAGAGACCCCUCUAGCUAGAAAAUAGGAACUUCCCUAAAAAAUAGAGACUCCUCUAGCUAGAAAUAGGAACUUCCCUAAAAAAUGGUCUAUGAAGUCCCUUGGUUAGGAUGUCAGCCAGUUGCUGUGUAGUUAGAACAAAUGGCGUGCAUAUAAGACUGGGUUGAAGUUUUUCCUUUAUGAAAUGUCUAUCAAUCUCCACAUGUUUAGUCCUAUUAUGCUGAACUGGAUUAUGUGUAAUACUGCUUGCAACUUUAUUAUUGCAAUAAAGCUUCAAAGGGUAGAUUGUUGGUUGUCUUAACUCUUUUAGGACAUGCUUAAGCCACAUCACAAACCCCAUAUGCCAUCGCUCUAAAUUUUGCCUCCACAUUACUCUUAGCUACUAAACUUUGUUUUUUACUCCUCCAAGUAACCAAAUUUAUCCAAAUAAAUGUGCAAUGCCCUGAGGUCGAUCUCUUAUCAGCUACUGAACCAGCUUAGUCUGCAUCCAUGUGUACUUCAACUCUCCACUGCUUAUUCUUCUUAAAAAAUAGCCCUUUUUGUGGUGUAUUCUUCAAGUACCUUAAAAUUCUAUAAACUGCUUCGAGAUGCACUUCAAAAGGUGAAUGCAUAUAUUGACUUACCAUACUAACUACAAAGGCAAUAUCCAGUCAAGUGUGAGAUAAGUAAUAUUGGAAGAUUAUUAAGAUCAUUAAGAGACUCUACAUGUUUAAUAUUGGAAGAAGAAUAUGGUUUAGAUGGAGGCUUACCUUUCUCAAGGGGUGUGAUUAUAUCUGUUCUUGGGACAGAUUCAUGGCCUUACUAUAAAGUAGGUUCCUCCAUCCUUUUUGAAUAUGGUCUUGAGUAGACAUGACGCUCUUGAUUGUUUUUACUUGUAUUUUCAAUGAAUUCAGUAUUUUUAUGAUCCUGAUCAUGUGCUGACAUUAAGGUAGACUGUCCAAAUUUUCAAUAGCUAAAUCAUUUGUUCCCAAAGUUUGUCUACUACCUACAGACUCAUCAAACAUCGGUGGCUGUUUUUUUUGUUUUUUCUAGACAUUUUUCUUGGAAUUUUCAUGGAGUUUCUGAUUGCUGUUGAACUAACGGUGGCUGUAACAGUGGCUGGUCUAACUCAAACAACACAAUAGGAAUGAAAUCUACUCUUUUAUUCUCCCCUUGAGGAUGAUCAUGACUAAAGUAGGAUUUAGUUUCAAAAAAGGUGACAUCCAUUGUUACAAACAUUCUUUUAGUACAGGGAUCAAAGUAUUUAUACCCUUUUAGUGUUGAAGAAUAUCCAACAAAUAUGUAUUUGAAUGCUUUAGGAUCAAAUUUUCCACAGUUAUGAUUAUGGACAUGAAUGAAUGUAAUGCAAUAAAAAAUUUUCAAAGGUAAAUUCAUUGAAAUCUGUGAAGUAGGAAAACACAUGUUGAAAAAAUCAAUAGCAGUUUGAUAUUUUAAAACCUUGUUGGGCAUCCUAUUAAAAUAGCUUUGCCUUAAAGAUAUUUAGGAACUUUUGUUGAAAAGGUGAAUGAUCUAGCAACUUCUAAAAGAUGUCUAUUCUUUCUUUCUACCACUUCAUUUUGUUGAGGUGUAUCAACACAAGAACUUUCAUGUAUUAUGCCAUUUUCUGGAAAGUAGUUUUCUAACAAUUGAUUGGAGUAUUCCGUUCCAUUAUUAGUUUUAAAAUUUUGAAUAUUUGUUUAAAAUUGUGUUUUGACUGUUUUGUGAAAAGUUUUAAACAAUUAUGCUACUUUUGAUUUUUCUUUUAGCAAAUACGCCUAAGAAGGUCCCUAAACACCACUAUGUAUUACAAAAAAAGGUUUAGAGGCUUUAUAGGGUUGUGAAGGAAAAAAUGCAUGAUGAUGCUUUGCAAGUUCACAAAUUUCACAAUGGAAUGAAGAUGAAUCUUUAUUAAUAAACAACUUUGAAAAUAGAUGUUUCAAAUAUUGAAAAUUGGGAUGUCCUAACCUAAAAUGCCUUAACACUAUUUCAUUCUCACUAGAUAUUAAAACAAGUUCAAAACAAGUACUUUGGGCUUGUCUACCUAGUUUGAUUCCAUCUUCAAAGAAAUAAAGUCCUUCAUAGCAUUGCCAAUCAUCUUCCCUGAGUUCAAAUCCUAGACUUCACAUUGAGAUGAGAAAAAAUUAGCUUGAUAGUUUAAAUCAAAGGUUAAUUUACUAAUAAACAAUAAAUUUCAAGACAAAUUAGGAACAUGAAGGACAUUAUGGAGUGUAGGAAGUGAGGGAAUUUUGAUAGAUCAUUUUCCAACAAUAGUUGAAAGUGAUCCAUCUGCUAUUUUUAUUUGUUUGUUUCCUGCACAGGGACUAUAAGAAGAAAACAGAUUUGAAGAACUGGUCCUAUGAUCGGUUGCACUAGAAUCUAUGAUCCAUGGGCAAUUUGAAUCAAGGCUAAUAAGGGGUGUGGCAAGAUGAUUACCUUUUUGGGCUAAGGAACAAGAAAAGGAUCGACUUAAAGAGACCCGAGAUUGAAGAAGUUUGUACAAAUGCUCUAUUUGAUCCUUCGUAAAAGGAGAUGUUUCUAAGGACGGUUGUAGCCCUUGUUCAUCGCUUUCAACUUGGUAGGCACGACUCUCCCUGCCAUGUUUCUUCCUUUAGUUUGAUGGUUUUCUGUGAAUCUUCUAGAAGGUGUCACGAGUAUGCUAGGGUUUGUUACAGUGGUCAUACCAUGGUUUAUCAUCCUUUUUAGAAUUCCUUUUUUCUCCUUGAUCAAAUCCCUUUGUAACAAAGGCAAAACUAUCAAAUUUUGUUUUAGUCCUUGGUGACUCAAGGUUCAUCGUAACAAAUCUUCUAGCCUUCUCUCUUCUAACUUUAGAAAAACUUCUUGAAGAGAUGGAAAUCGUUUUCUCCCCAAGAUUUGACCUCUCACUUCAUCAAGGGAUUUUUUUGAUAAAGAUCCUAUGCUCUAAUACCAUGUAGGCUUUGAGGAAAAUAAAUUUUUAUUAAUCCUAUUUUCUGUAUAAUUCACGAAGGAUACAAUACAAGUUUAUAUAGAGACUCCUCGAGCUAGAAAAUAGGAACUUACCUAAAAAAUAGAGACUCCUCUGGCCAUAAAAUAGGAACUUACCUAAAAAAUAGAACAAGAAACUAACUAAAAAAAAUCCUAACUAAAUUUGAAUUUAAAAAUAAAUAUCACAACUCAUCCUUUUUCCUAAAAAUAACAACAAUAUUCCUAGAUUCUCGACAAGAAAUAUUCUUAUAUACUAAAUUUCUUCUCCUAAAGAUUAGUCUUAGAAUAGUAUGGUUGUUCUUGAAAAAAGCACACAUCCAUGGUGAGAAAUCUUUGUUUUGUAGGAGUAUAAAAGCAUUUGUAUUCCUUUUGAGUGGGAGAGUAUCAUAGGAAUAUACAUCUAAUAACACUUGCAUCAAGUUUUGUUCUUUCCCUAUAAGAAUUGCAUCUCCUUAAUAUACUUUAGGAACAUUAUGAGAGAACAUUAAAGCCUUGGCCACUUCCAAAAAAAGUCUAUUUUUCUCUUAGCCGCCCAUUUGUUAGGGUAUACCAACACAUAUAAUUAGGUGUGUGAUCCCAUUUUAAGAAAAGAUGAACUUAGGGUACCAUUUAGAUAUUCUCUCCAUUAUUAGACUUUAAAACUUGUAGUUUAGCAUAGUUUGGAUCAUUCUAUGGAAAUUUAGGGAGGUAGGGACAAUCUCAAAUUUAUCUUUGAGGAGAUAAAUUCAAGUAUCACAAGCACAAUCAUCGAUAAAACUAAUAAAACCAUUUGAAGUUACCUAAAAUUUAGGGUGGUAGGGACAAUCUCAAAUUUUGGAUGAGCAAGAUAGUUAUAAGGAGUACGAUGUCCAAAUCAGUGGGUUGUAGGAAUUGUAUUGUAUGCUGAUAUGGUACGUAAGCUGAGUAAGGAGUUCAUAUACAAGUUACCUAAAACAAAAGGUUCACCCACUUUUGAUGUUGACGUCGGUGUUGGUGUGGUUGGUUGCUUUCACUUGGUCAAAGAAGGCCAUGAAGAUGAUUGGAGAACAACUUUAAAGACAAAGAAAGGUCUCUUUAAGUGUACAAGAUUGACAGAGUUGAAAUUUUUGCAAGUCACAUGAUGGACAACUCACAAUUCUACAUUUUACAUGUAAAAUUUAUAUCAAGCAGAGUACUUUAUUGUUUGUAAUCAAUCCAUUCACAUGGGAAGAAAAAGAACAAAAUGGUGGAAGAGUUUGCUUUGGAUUUCUAUACAUCGAGGAAGUCAAUGAAACUCGAUGUUGAGUUUCUUCCUAGUUAGAGGGAAUGGUGAAGAAUUAACCCCCAGGGUUUAUUCACAACAAAAGAAAGACAUUGGUAGUUUGGUUUCAUUGUUUUAUUUAGUCUUUUUGUUAUAGUAGGAUUGAUAUUUAAUAGUUUACUUUUGUUAAGCUUUUUAUUUUAUUUUAGGUAGUGGCUGACUUUUUUGUUAAGUUUCUAUUCCUUUUAUUCUUCUUAUUAGCAUUAGGAAUGUUUCUAUUUCUUUUAAUUAGUGAAUAAUAUUCCUUUCCUAUUUUUGCAAGAAAUAUAAGAAAUUAGGAAAGUUAUCCUAUCAAGGAAGAGAGUCAUAAGAGUCUAUAUAUACCUUUGUAGUCUUUCGAAGUAAAGAGGAGAAUUUUAAUAAAAUUUCAGCAUCUAUUAUGCUUUCCUUUGAAGGUGUGACUACCUUCUUCCUAAGUGUGAUUUGCCUUGGAACCUUUUUGUGAUUGUCAAAGACUAUAUAUGUAUGUAUUCCUUUUUGUUGAUUGGUUGGGUUCUUGUUGAGGUUGUAUUAGCCCCUUCUGUUGGGUUGUUCUUUUUCCCCUUUAUGCCAUUUUGGCGGUGGUUGUAUAUGUAUUGUAUACCUUGAGUCAAUCUUUUGGUGCCUCUUCUUAUAUCUUCCUUUUUAUCUAAAAAAAAAAAAUUCCUUUUUAUAUUUUUCUGUCAUCUUUUAUUCUUUUCACCUCAUUCUAUAACUUAAGAAAUCGUAUAUUGCUUGAAAUUUUAAGAUUGUGCAAUAUGUUUGCUUGAAAUUAUAGGAUCUCAUUAUAUCAUCUCAGCCCCUUUUUAACUGCAACUUUGCACUUUUUGACAUUAGAUAUGAUUUUAUUUCAGACAAAAUCAGGCCUUCUGAUGUAGGUCUUGAACAGGAGGCACAAUGUGCACGGGUAUGGUCAGGUCCCAUGCAUCAGUGUAAUGGCAGCCAUCCAUCACUACCACCAAUCAAAUACCUGCAUUUACAUGAGUGUGACAGCUUUUCUGUAAGUAUUUGACUCUAGGUUUUCCAUUGUUAAUAGAAUUCAAUAUUUUACACCUGGUUUUCUGAACUUAGGUUAUGUUUGGUUCUAAAAACUAUGAGGUAAAGGAAAAGGAAGGGAAGAAAAAGGAAAGAAAGUGCAAGUUUAAGUCCGAUACAUUUUCCUGCAUCUUUCCCCUGCUCUAUUGACCUUUCCCUUGCUGUUUCCUCGUCCAGACAGGCCCUUAAUGUUCUGAAACUUGAAAGCUAGAUAACAGAGACUCACUGGUUUUUGAAUUUUCUUGCAGAUAGGAGUCUUUUGCAUGCCACCUUCCUCUAUUAUACCCCUUCAUAAUCAUCCUGGAAUGACUGUGUUGAGCAAGCUUCUAUAUGGUUCAUUAUAUGUAAAAUCAUAUGAUUGGCUUGAUUUUCCUGCAGCUGCUGAUCCAUCACAAGGUGUGCUUUUUUUAGCAUAUCAUAUCUCCCACUUUGAUUAUGACAAAUGGUGCUUUGAUGCUUUGAAAUGACACUCAGAACUAUGCUCUUGUUCCUUCAAAAUCAAGUAAUGCCCUGAUUCUGGAAUUUUUAUUUUUCAAGUAGGAUGUUUAUUGUUGUUGCGAAGUGAAAUUGUUUACAUGAUUGUAGGGACCUUCCUUCCUAUGUAGUGUUUGUAGGGUGUUUUAGGCUUUUGGAUUUUCUUUGUUCUUUGUUUUGUUCUUUUCUUCCUACUUAGCUUGGAAUAUGGCCUAUUCUUCAUCAUACCCUCUCUUUAUGUUAAUAAAACAUUUGUUUCCUAUCAAAGAAAAAGAUGCCAAACCACUGUAGCAGGGAUGUUCAUUCCACUGCAGUGAGUUGCUGUUAAUGCUACCAUAGCAGUGUACUGAAUGAGGAUUUUGCAUCCUUUUGUGAGUCCUUAUUAUGAACUCAAAACUAGAGGUUAUGAUUUUUUAAUUCAAGGGAUCUGAUAGAUUAUUUUGUGUUUAGUGUUCAGUGGUUUAUAAAAGCUUUGUACUCGAGUUAUUAGUUAUUUAUUUAUCUCUUUAGGUCCCAGAGGAAUUCCACUAAUUUAAUGAAUGAUCAAGGAGUAUUUUUAUCUUCAAACUGUGAAUGGAUUUGUUGAAUUUUGUUGGAAAAUUUGAUAGAAGCCUUUUAAGAUUGGGCAGCUACUCUGGUGAGGUUUAUUGAUAGGCAUGACAUGAUGAAUGAAACGAGUUUGAUUUGCUAUUAUGAACCUUACUCAUCUUGCUUAGAUUUCAUGGACGGUUGUAUGGAAUGUAUUUGAGAUGCAGGAUAAACUCUUAUUAUUAGUUUUAAAGCAAUGAAAUUAUGGAUAAAACAGAUGUAUUACAGUGACUCAGGAUGAGCUUUUUGGUUAGCAAACAACUCUUAGAUAAGGAAGCACUACAGUUGUUGCGUACAUGAACAAGGUUUAAGGAUGUAUGAAUUCUAGGUAGGGGUGUUGAUGAUCCAAGCCAAACUCUCCUCCAACCUAAGUCAGGAUUGCAAGUGUCGCUAAAUGGUAACACAUGUCUUCAAUUUUGACGAGUUGUUUCAAUUGGCUUUUGUGAUUGAGAAGAAUAUGAAGUAGAAUCUUACUAGACUGUUCUCAAGUCUGCUAGAUAAACCCGAAAAAUUUCAAUAAGGUUUGUAGAGGCUUUUAUCCUCCUCAGUGCAUGGUAACCUCCAUGCAGGCUUUAAACCUCAUUCAAUGGAUGACAUCAACACCUAAUGGAUUUUUGAAGGGAAAAGAGGGAUGGCCUUUGCAAGUGUUGAGAGGACCAUAUGCAUGUUAGUACUAAACCACUGGGGGUACCUGAUUUAGACAAUGAUAAUUUGUAGUGAAUAUCUAAGUGUGUGCUCUUUGAUGUUGAUGUUGUCUAAAAUUGGGAGGUAGAUGCCACUCUUCUCUCUGUUUUAAGUUCUAAUACAUGACAGGUGAAAAAAAUAAAAAUAAAUAUGUUUGUAUUGAGAUGAUGAUUUUUGAUGUUAUGUCCUAGCCUUACUGAUAUCUUUUGGGAGAUCUUUUAAAUGGUAACUUGUCCUUUUUUGACAAUGUGCCAGUCCAACAAAAAGCAUGUCACCAAUUCCAGGCUAAAAUUUAUCUUUGACAUAAUUUUUUCUUUGUUAUAGGCUAAUUUUUCUUUGGUUAGUUUCUUAUGCAUAUUUUUUUAGAUUAAGCUUGAUUUUUAAUAUUAAGAUUGAGAUAAUUAAGCUUGAUCAUGCUUGAUUUUUCUAAAGCUUGUAGGUUCCCAAAGUUUGUCUAUUUUGUUGUCUUGGAUAGAUCACCUAUGAGGGGGGCAAUGUGAUAGGCAUUGCUUAGAAUUUGAACAUAAUGGAUAGGUAGAGAUGUAUUUCUAAGCUUCUAGGUGAGUUUUUAGCACCUUGACAUGGUUGCACAACACCAAGGCUUCAUGUGGUGGCACCUUGCACCCAUUAAGUGCCUAUGACAUGUGGGGAGACAUGUCAUGCACGAGGCAAGGUGAUGAAUGAGGCUAAGGAUCAUGUCAAGGCUUGGUAGUGGCAGCACACAGGUGUGCACAAGCAAGGCACCAUGUGGGUGGCUUGACCUAACAAAAAUUCAAGUGCGGGAUUUUUUAUGAUGGAAAAUUUUCCUUUAAAGAGGAUGCCUUGAGUUAGGGUUUCCAAGUGACAAAAUGAUUUUUCAGAUUUUCUAUUUUUUUAGAAAAUUCAUUAUGCUUGGUCAAACAGCUAUGAUAUCUCCUCCUAACACUCUGGGAAUGACUUAAAACGUUCAAGGAGGGGGGUGGCCCACUAAAGGGUGGUGAUGGUGACAAAUUAUGCCACAUCAAGAGCAUGACAUGAGGGCAAACAUGAGCAAGGAUUGAUGGUGAGCCUUGCUAGCUUGCAUGCAUGAGCGCAAUGCCAUGUGUGGUGCAACCCUUGGGCCUUAAUAGGGGGUUGCGGUUAUGGUGCAUGGCAUGAGGAUGCGUGCUUCGGUUGGAAGGAUCUAUGUGGUUAGCAGACACAUGGACGAUGAGCUAAGAAGAGGACUUAGCACCAAGGCAAGGUUGCAUAAGCAUGUGGGCCAAGAGAGGGCUCAAUACACAUGGACUGCCUAGAAACACAAGUAACAGGUUGGGUGGCACAUAAGGCCACCUAGACACAUAAAUGGCAUAAAUGGGCUUGAUGUUCGUGGGCUCAACAAGACGCAUGGGUUGGCACUAAGCAUGACACCUGUAGCGCACCUUGGCAUUGAGGCAAGCCCAAGUAAGACGAGGAAUGGGAGAUUGACAACUGAUAGGCUGAGAUGUGCUAGACACUUGACAUGAGCCAAACAAAUCUUUGCAACACAAGAGGCAUGUGGCAAGCAAAGGUGCAAGCAAGCAACUAAGUCCGUAUGAUAGAGGCAUGACAAGAGUGGGUUGUUGAGUUUGGGAACAGGUGGCAAAGUUAGAGGCAAGCAACACAUGCAACUAGACAUGUGGCAAAUGACUGAAGCCUUAGGAUAGGCUGAAGCAUUUGAAUUCAAAAGAGUCAAUCUCCUAGAUGAGGGGGAGUUGGUUGGCUGAUGGAUGCCUCUAUAAAUCGUGUGCCUACUAGUCAUUCUCUGCAUCAACUCACCAAAGAGAUUGUGGGAAUCUUGUUAAAAGAACCAGGGUUGUUCCUUGUAAAUUCUGUGGAGUAAUAUACAAGUUAGAGUGUUACUCUGUAAUCUUGUGUGGGCUGUGUGAUUUUCCUUGUUGCAUCUCGUGCAGGUCUGGUUAGAGAAGGUUGGCUUAAAGGGUUUUUAAGAUCCACACAACGUGAAAAAGUAGUGGGGAAAUUUUGUAGUUGUGACAUUAACCAAGUAAUUUAAAUGAAAGAUUCAAAGCUUAUGAAAAGGUCUAGACCAGCCAUGAUUGAUGAUACACGGUUGGAUGGUGAAAAAGCAUAUAUGAAAAUGAGUGGAACUGAAAUAAGUUGUUGAGCUGGAUGAGUAACAAGUUCAAAGUUCAUAGAAUGGGAAAUUAAUGCAAUUGUUUGAACCUGAAACACCACUUUUCAGUGACAGAUGAAGAAAAGUUGAUGAGAUGGACGGUUAUUUAAAAUGGACACGUUCCAUUAAGUACUAAGGUGCAAGUUGAAAGCUCGGAAUGGAUACUGUGUUGAGGAGAUAUUUGUUAUCUAUUAUUUUCUUGGUACUUUGUGAAUUUCACUUAACAAUAGUCAUGACCUUCAAUAGGUAGAAAUGGGAGAUUGGACUGAUCUUAGAGGGUUGGAACAUGACUUACUCUGGACCAUGUUGUAUCAUAGUUUAAUGUUGAUUAUAUUUAGUUGGUUUUCACUUGUGGGAUUGACAGCAAAUAUUACAAUUGAAACUGCAUUUUGGUUUUCGUUUUUAUGGCUUAAUUGGCUGUUAAUUUUUUUACUGAAAUGUCUGUAUUUUGCUCUGUUACUUGUUUUAUCUUCUUUUUACUAAGGUUUGAUUGUUAUAUGUGCAGCAAGACCGGCAGAGCUUGUUAGGGAUACUGAGAUGACAGCGCCUUGUGGGACAACAAUCCUUUAUCCAUCGUCUGGGGGCAACAUCCACACUUUUGAAGCUGUAACUCCCUGUGCUAUCUUAGACAUCCUGUCUCCACCUUACUCUUCAGAGAAUGGGCGUCAUUGCACUUAUUUCCGGAAUUCUCCAAGAAAGGAUCUACCCGGUAAAAGAAUUUAUUUUCUAUUAACCUGGUUCAUUAGCAUUUAUUUUUUACAUUUCCUCUCUGAAACAAAAGGAUUUGCCUUUUGAUUGUUCCUCUCAACUACUAACUCUUUUUUAUUUGUGUUUAAAUGAAGGCGAACUUCAGUUGAAUGGAAUGACCGUUUCUGACGUGACUUGGUUAGAAGAGUUUCAACCCCCUGACAACUUUGUGAUUAGGAGGGGGCAGUACAGGGGACCCGUCAUCAGACGUUGAGAAUUCUUGUUUUGGGUGUGCCGUACAUUUGAAUGAAUUAGGAUUUUCCAUAUUAGGAAACAUUGGGGGGAAGCUCUGGUAUAUGGGUUGUCAAUAGCCUUGGCAAUAAUUAAUCUUAUUGGCUAUAUAAGUUUAGGUAUUUGGAAUGUACAUAUUUAUAUACCAUUAUAGUACUUCCAUUCACUGACCUCACCUUUAACUAGUGGAACAGUCACCGGAAUUUGUGAGAACUUGUGUCUGAUAAAGUUCUUAUGGGGAAUUUUUCUCCCAUUGCAAUAGGCAGAUGCAAUCUUUUUGUCGCCCUAGUUAAGCAGCUGGGUGUAGAACUACUUUCUAGUCCUUAAAUCAUCUUGCGUUGCUCAAGCUCAGCUUUGUUUAACAGGUGAAAACCAAAGCUCAAUUUGUCACCUUCAGUUUUUUCUGUCUCUUAUGUUUUGGAGAAGUCAGACCGAUGAUUGGCCUGACUAAAUAACUAAUAUGUUAAAGAUCUGCGCUGUGAUCUAUAUCAAUGCCAAUUAGUAAUUGAUAUAUCUUCACAGAGCUCGGGUUUUGACACUUUCGAGGCCAUGGCUAAGGAGCUAACUGAUGUGUUUGAGCUCCAAGUAUCUAUGCACAGAAAGCUACCUUGGUUAUCAGCAAGAAUUAAUUGCCCUGUAAUUUAAUCUGAUGCUGAAGUAAAAAUUUGGGAUUGUUACAUAAAUGUCCUGGACCAAUUGCUAGUGGGAAAGAUUGCAAACUCCCCAAUCUUUAGAAUAAAAAGAAUGGAUUUAAGUUGUUUCUUAAUACAGGUUGAGGUUUUAUAUGGUAUGUUGUUAAUGAUUGUUGUCAUGACAUCAUGUGAAUCCAUUAACCUCAAUGCCAAAUAGAGGUUUAGAGAUUUAGGAUUGUGUGUGCUUAUUUCUUGGCAAGGGUUUAGGGUUGAUAUGGGAUGUAUCAUUCUUCCAAAUAGGAUCACUAAAUUAGGCAUUUGCCUCAUAUUUACAUGAGUAUUUCAAAGAUUAAGAAUGAAUUCAUAUAGAUCAGAACGUUCCAAUAGCAAUUCUAAAAUAAAUGAUAAAAUCAAUAUAAAUGGACUAAAAGAAAUUGAUCAAAACCAGUAAUGGUAAAAAGAAGAAUCAUACUCAAAUUAGCUGAAAAUGAAGGAAAACAACAAACAAGAAGCAGCAACAGAUGAGUAAAACCAUACCAAGUUGGUUGAAGGCAAAGAUUGAUGAAGAGCAUUUGAAUGCAUCACCCUACCAAGUGAACCAGAAAGAGCCAAACUUUGAUCCAAAUAAUGAUGUGGGACUUUGGGUUUUAAUAGAAGGGCAAUGGGUUUAAGUUGCAGACCAGAAACAGUGGUAGCCCAUGACCUAAAAUUACAGUGGGCUGUGUUACAGGAGGUUCAUGGCACUCACACGUUCACAUCAUUCUUUUUUCUCUUCUUGUUUUUGUUGUUAGUGCAAAAAGUAAUAGCUGAGUUGACCAAAUUUGAGAUGUGAUUGGUGGGAUUCUCAGCUAAAGACACUUGAAACCUACCAUUGGAGCAAUGAGCAUUAGUGAAUUACUUCCCAGAUAAUUAUGAGAAGCAGUGGAUUAUAAAUACUGUCAAGUUGAACGUGGAGUGCUGAGCCAUACCGCGGCUCACCUGGUUUUCAUGCUGCAACUUGGAAUUAUCAAAAUGGAAAAUACAAAGUGGUAGUUAUCUUGAUGGGAGGGUGUAGUUGAAUGAAGUUUGGUGUGACCCAGCAUCUAAGCUUACCCUAGGCCACCACUGGCCAAUCAUGGGUUUCAGUGGCUAGCUAGCCAUGUGGUUGAAUUCUCACCCGUGAGUCUGAUUGGUUGAUGGCAUUGUCCACAGAAUAUCCAGGCUCAAUGAACCAGCAUCUUGUUGUGGGAACCUAACACAAGAAUGUGCUUGUGUCACUGCUCAUGAGAAUUUCUUUAGUCUCAUCCACCACUUCAAACUCAAAUUUUUUAGAACGUUCUAAAAACUGUUUUGUUAGUUACAAAACCCGUUUUCUAAGUUAGAAAACUGGUUUAAUAAAUUACUUAUAAAAGCAGUUGUUUUAGCAUUUGUAUUUUGAAAUAUUUUUAGUUAUUUUUUAUAGAGUUUUUUAAAAAAAAAUUUUAAUAAUAAUUUAAAAAAUAGAUAAUAUUUUGAAAGCUUUUGUAUUGGACAUCAGUGUACAAUACUCUAUGGAGAAUAAGCUGAGAAAUUCCUUUUUAUAUGUAUAUUAGAGUUUUCAAACAUAAUUUUAUUCAUUAAAAAUAGUAGAUAAAUAUUUUCCAAAACGGUUCUAAAAAAAUAUUUUGAAAAUGUUUUCAAACAAAUUCUUAAUUUCUAACUGUCUUUUCUUUUGCUAUUUGGAAGUAGGUUUUUAUUCAUGAAAUAUGAAAAUUAAGAAAUGUUAAACAAAACUAUAUAUAUUAGGGAGUUUGUUCAAGAAAAAUUUGUUUGAUUGAGCAUUUCAAUGUUUGAAGACAUAAUUAACUUACACUAGAACAAAAUUAUAGAUAGUGGUCUUCUACACCACUUUUUGGGCUUCAAAGUUCACCAUGUUCUACAGCACAAGAAACUACACCCAUGGUAUGGUGGGCUGCUGCGUACAUCCUCUUGACUGGUAUUUAGUUUAUAACUUUCCACGUGAUGAUUUCAGCCCAUUGUGCAUGACCAGCCCAGAGGCAGAUGGACAGUCAAGAGUCAAGAGUACUCCAAGAGAGAGAGGCAGUGGGCAGUGGCCACAAGGAAAAGAGAAUUUUUUGAGAACGUAAAUUUGAUUAUAAAAGGGUUUAAAGUUUAAGCUAAAACCCAGAAGAGGAUAAACAUUAAUGAGCACACUUCUCAGUUGAAACAAGCCAAUUCACUUCUUUUGGUGCUAGUUUCCAUGCUACUUCUUGACUGAUUCUUACCCUAAGAUUCAUCUCCCUCCUUCCGCAAAACAUGGGCAUGUGAUCUACAACACAUACAUACAAACACACACACAGAUCGGAUACAUUGCCUAUGUUCGCGGCGACACUUUAGCCAACACCAAGCCAUUCACACCUAGAUUCUUUGCAUUAUAGCCUUUUUAUAUGGAGUUUAUGAAGAAAGAGAUCAGUAUGAUUAUUCUCCAAGUCCAAAACCAGAUGGGUGUGUAAGCUUCCCUCAUUCUAUUUUACUUGCUUUUGAGAUCUCUCUCAUCUUAAUUUUUAUGCUUUGGGAAUAUUUGGCCAUUUAUUGCAUGUGUUAGCAUUUUGGUUUUUUAAAUAUUGUAGCUAGGAGUUAGGUUUGGAGGUGUUUAUAUUAAUAAAACACCUAGAAUAAUGCUAGGUUUUCAAUUAGAGUCUGCCACAUUGUACAAAUAACUUUAAUUUUUACAAAAAUAAAAAAUAAAAAAUUAUGAUUCUUUUAAUGAAGACUUUAUAAACUUAAUUGUUUUAAUUUCCAAGUGCCUGAUAACCCUAAGGCUAUAUGGCAUUGAUGUGAUUAAAGGGUGGGUAGGAGUUGAUCAUCCUUUCAUGAAUUCAAACUUGGAUAGUAAUUGGGUUGGGUAUAUUAUGUCAAUGGAAGUCUGCUUCAUCUCUGCAGGUUUGGCUAGCAAAGACUUGCAAGCUCAAAAAAGGAGUUGGCACUGAUCAAAGACUAGUACUCUUAUAGACUAAUUGGUUUAUCAGCAUCGAUUGAUUGGUUCAUUAGAAGGUCAAGUACAUUCUAUGAUGAUAACAUCUAUAUGAACAACAUACUGUAUGUGCACAAAAAUCAGAUUAGAUUAAACAAGUUCUAAGAUCUGAUUUAUCUACCAUUUUCAAUUUGGACCUCCAAGGCCUCGUUAUCGGUAUCGCAGAACCCAAGUGGCUAAAAACAAAUGUGUAUAAUAAACUAUCCAUGGUUUUUGGUAGAACGACAUAGCCUCGGUCUCCAUCCUGCUUCUGUAAUUGAGAAAGUAUGAUGGAUGAAGAACGUCAUCAUUUCUUGCAACUUUCAUGGGCCCUCUAUGUAUGAAUUAUAUUAUUCUUUCAUUGUUUUAUCUUUUUAGUUUAUUAAUCUUGGUGACAAGGGAUCAUAACUUGCUAGAAAUGGCUACUGAUCUUGUUCUUGAAGCUUCACUAUGACACGUAUAUAUACCUAGUUUUACAUUAUAGAACCCUAUGAUAGAUACAAGCUGAAUCGACAAUGCAUGACACUGAAGCAUGGUGAUUAUGAGAAAUAAUAUUAAUGCUUGUAUGUACAGACCUAGUUAUUGAGUUUUAAUUUCUAUCUCUUUAUUUUUCUUCACAUAUAAUUUAGAUUCAUUAUAGAUUGUCACCGAAAUGAAAAUAUAUAGAUGAAAUUUGCAACUUAGUGGUGGUUUGAUAAACUAAUUUAAUAACUUAAAAUGAUUUAAUAAUUUAAUUCAAGUCAUUAAAUAAAUUAAGGUAGUAUUUGUUUUUUUGCUUUUUUGUUUAAAGUAGUUUGUUUUCAAAAUUUAGGUAGUUUGUUUUUCUAUUUUUUUAUGACUUAUUAUAAACUUUUUAAUAAAUAGAAAAAACUAAAAUAUGUAGUUUUUUUUAAUUAAAUAGAAAAAAUAACAUAUUGGAUUUUUUUACUUUUUAAUACUUAAUAGAAAUAAAAUACUACAAAAAUAAACAAUCUAAUAUUUAACCACUAUUAAGGAUUAAAGUUCUAUUUAGAAUUAAGUAAAAAAACAAGCACCAUCUAAGUAUGUUUAGUAAAAUGAUAACUUAAAGUUAAAAAUAAUUUUAAGUUAUAAGUAAAAACGAUUAAUCCAUUUUUAAGUCUACAUAUUUAUUUUACCUUCAUUUAUCUUAAUUAUUUUCAUGAUCUCCUUUGUUUUUUCAUAACCUUCACUGUUACUCAAUCUUUUAUACCCUAAUUAUAAUUUAUGAGGAUAAAUAUGUUAAUUUAAAAUUUUAAAAUAUGUUUUAAGUUAAUUUGAUCAAACAAACUUAAUACUUAAAGUAAAAUUAAAUAAUAAAUUUUAAGUUAACAACUUAAAUUAUUAAGUAAUAAAUGUUAAGUUUUAUCAUACAUCCCUUACUAUAUCUCUAAAUUUUUGGGUUGAGUGAAGUGAAAAUAGGACAAAUUUCAUGUAACUCAAAAAAUUAGAAGUGGUUUAUGAAAUUCUUCUUGGCGUAGGUUUUGGUCAUAGAUUAUUGGAAUUGGAAACCUUUUGCAAGUGGGUUCGGGGGAGUUUCUAUACAGAUUUACAGAGAAAGUAGUGGAUGGAAAAUGAGGCAAAUUCAUCCAUGAAAUUUAGGGCUUGAUGCAGUAGCUAAGACAUACAACUUUGCUAAUGAAACUUCCUCAUCUGGCGUAUUAGAGCGCAUUGGUGUAUAUUCCACCAAAGAUUCUCCGUUUGGUUUGCCGAUGCAAUAGAAUAAUGAAAAUGUCAACUCCCCAUGCAGGAGAAGACAAAACAUAAAUGGGUUAAUCGGUGAUUAGGGAAAGAUGAACAAUUCCUUAAUUAUUUUCUUAACUACACAAAACCCGAUUAACCCGAUUGAUUAAUUUCCUCACCUCUCCUGCAUAGCCUUUACCAUUCAAACUCUUACUUUAAUCCUUCGAAUAUUUGUCUUCAUUGCCUUAUUGGAAUCCAUGAAUCUUUCUCUGUCUCUCUCUCACACACACACAUCUUCACACAUAAAAAUGUAUUCACACAUACCUAUAGUCAUAUUAAUAAAUGUCACACAUAUCUAGUCAGGUUUCGAGUGUCUUUUAGCUAAACCUAAUCCCUUCAAUGAUUCCAAUAGUGACCUCUUCUCUUUCCAAAGACUAAAUAAACAAUCUCUGUCGUGUGAGGACAAAAUUUUCAAAUUCUACCUAAAAUGCCUUGGAAAGUAAAUCCUUGGACAGUAGGUAGGAAAAUAGAGAAAAAAGACAACAUAAGGGUAUAACUAAUUAAUGCUUUAUGGGAGACAACAGUUCUCUCUUACCUAUCAUCUAUCAUUCUUUCACUUUUUCCCCUUCUAUAACUUGUACUGUCUCCUUCAAUUUCUAGACCAAGUGUUGGGUGCCUCAACAUUACCAGCUGCUAGCAUUUUUUAUUUUGCAAAUUAGAUCUUUGGAAUAGGGUGAUUCCAUACUAAUUUUUGGUUUAUUAAUGAAUAUAUUUUCAUUAAUUUACAAAAAAGAGCAAGAUUGUUUGUAUUCCCUUUUAUGAACUUUCUGAAUGUCUUAAUUCAAAAACUCUAUUUUAUUACUUGGCAUGUACUUUAAGCAGUGUAAAGGACUGGAAGCUCAUGAGUGGAGUGCAAACAUUUAGGAAUACCCUUUUCUUUGAUCAUUCAAGUAAUCAGGAGAAACACACAUAAAAAGGUAGAAAAUGUUUGUUGAUUCUCUUUCCAAGGAGCUCCAUCUAUUACCAAGAAGUAUGACUAGCUAAGUAUGAGCUUGCAUACCACAAAACAUAUACCUAUUUUUAAAUAUUGGAGUAUGAUCACAAUGACUGUGAUGUGGGUCUCACUCAAUAAUUUAUCUAGUGAGGAAAAGGUUUAUAUACAUAUACUAAAAUCAUUAUCAUUUGCUGGGAGAAAGUUCACCGUCUUGUAUUUAUUUAUUUAUUUUCUGUAAAUGAGCUUAAUUAGUUAAAAAAUAAUAUCAUGAAGGGUUGUAUUAUGAUCUUCUAAUAAUUCACUAUUUCUUUUUGUAAUUACGUAUAAACUGGUUCUUGAAUUCAUCAACACUUCUCUUAUAAGAAUCCCAAUAGAAAAAAUGCCAACAGAUAUUUUUCUAAAGGUUGAUUGAUGUUGACACGUGAACUAAGAUUCUAGGUAGCAGAAGGCUAGUUUCUUGGCUAAUAUGGGGUUUCAUAUAUAUACCAGUUCUCAUUAAUUUUCAGCUACUCAGAAUCCAUUCUCUAAACAUCUUAGCUUCCAGUUAUUUUGUGCUCAACAAAGGAAACUUUACAUAUAUGUAUGUUAGUUUAUAUAUCCAUAUAGAAGGAUGACAUGGUUCUAAAAACUUAAUAACUAGGCAAUAAAUCUUGGGUGGAUGAUCAACAAUCUGAGGUUUCAAAAACAUAUAGUUUUUAUUCAACCUUUGUUAUUUGCCAAUUUAUCCCUAAAUAAGUUUUAGGUAGGUAUUGUGCUCCGUGUGACAAGGAAUCUUUCAUAUUAAUUAUAUGACUAGAUAGAUAAUAUAUAUGCAUAUAUAAUCCCCUAGUAGAAUUGCCCAGCUAGCUGUGACGUAGCAAUGCUUAUAGGGAAACCUAAGACAUAAAUUUAAUCACAUCACUUAAAAAAAUCACAGUAAUUUAUUUAGUCCCUAAAUCAAUACUUAGUUUUCAAAGAGGUCUUGAGAACUGGUUGUCUUUGGCACCUUUUAUAUUGAAUUGUGCUUUGCUAGAUUAGAAAAUUAAUCAGGCUAGCUAUAAGUAGCCUUUACCAUCCAGAUAUCAUUUCCACAUCCAGAGAUUCGGAAUACAGUUCUUUGUGAGCUGUGCUGGCGAACACUUGGUCUGAAGCCAAAGCAUGAUUUCUGGUUAUAUAUGGAUUAUUAAUUAGAACCACUAGCAACAGUUAAUUUCAAUCAUUGAUCAACUAAAAAAUUCUACACUAAGCUGAAUCUUUAAAUUAGAAACCAUACACUUCUUUUUUCCUUUUAACUUGGAAAAGAUAGGUAGGUAAUACAUGAUCAGCUAUUGUUUUUAAUGUACUUUAGCUCUACAUACUUAACUGAUAAAACUCAUAAAAGAAUAUGUGAUAGUUCCUUGGGGAGACGUGGUUGAGUCUUAGCUUGCCUAAGACCUUAACUUGUGUCAUCACAUUUGGUCUCAUCAGACAUGACUCGAGGUGAGAAACCAUGAAUGAAAUUCUUUCUUCUCAUCUGCAGAUGUAUGCUACUGAGUCAUGUUAACUCUUACUGCAUCCAUGAUUGAUUUGUUAUUUGUUUUAUAUGUUUGUAAUCAGAUUUAGGGUUAUUGCCCUAAAACCUCACAAUUUUUUUUUUUUAAUAAAGCUGGAAGCAUUGUGUGCAUGUUUUUACCCACCAAAUUCAGACUAUUUUACAGUUAACAUAGGCUAAUUUGGCUGGCCCAGCACCAUGGAUAAUAAUAAGAUCUAUUCAAAGGGUUUCAAAUUUCCAGAUCAGAACAAUGAAUCAAAGUGGUGGGAAUAUAAACAACAUAAACUAAAGCCAUAGGGAACAACAAUAAGAACAAAGGGACAGAGAAAUAGUGUUAAAAUAUAGGAAGAAAGUCAUCUCUUGAAAUGGUUGAGCAAUACAACAAAGAGAGCAGUCCCUAGCAGAGGUCAACCAUGAAGAUUAUCACGGAUGAGAGAGAGAGAGAGAGAGGGAUGGACAAGCUGUCAAAGAAGACCAAAACGAGAAAGGCUCGAGAAGUCACAUGAUUUUCAACAGUUCAAGAGAGUGGUGGUGGCAUCUUAACUCGUAGUAUUAGUAUUGUUAUCCUAGUGUAAAAAGGACAAAGUGGAAUUGUCCGACCAAUGUCUUCCCUUUCUAAUAUAGUAAUUGAAGUCUUUAAGAAAUCUGAAGUAUGACUAAUGGCAUGAAGCUUAAUUUCAACAGAUUCCUAGCCAGAAAAUAAAAUAACUCCCCAGAGUUCAAUGCAGCCAAAUCAUCUCAAUGCAUAACACAAGAGUACCAUGCAGUAGAUCUCUCCCUCUCUCCUCUCUCUCUCUCUCUCUCUCUGUCUUAAGAUUUGAUCUAUUCUUCGUUUACUGAGUUGUUUUUGGUCAAUCAACAUAUCCAUCAAUUGAUACACCAGCGUGUCUCAUGUUGGUAAGUUCAUAUGAAUCAUCCUUUGAUCUACUUUUCAGAUGCAUGCUUUGGAUUUAUUUAUCAAAAAACUUCUUUUCUGUUGGUAGGGAAGCUGGUUACUUCAUGAUCCAUCGAUCUUAUUUGAAUCCAAUACAAAGUGUUCUCAAAAUAUAGGAAAUUUGAUACACUUACUGAUUCUGCCGCUACUUUUCAUCUGAGCAGUCCAAAUCGUGGAAGAAAGAAAGAAUGAAGCUCCAUCAUCAAUGGUUUGUACUCAAGAGAAAAGAUUAAAUCCUCUGUGCAUCCAAGUCAUUAAUUUCUUCAGGAAGCUUAGACCCUAAGGUUUUAUGUUGUAUCAAAUUUCAGGAUUUUAGAAGUUCCAUAAAUCAUUCCCUUUUCAAUCUUUGGCCACUUUUUCUUUUUCUUCCUCCCCACCUAAUUUUAAACAGUUUCUUAUCAUUUCCAGAAAAGAUGUAUCAUUUUCCUUUUGCAUUCAACAAGAAGUUGAUCAUCCAAAAUUUUCUAUUGCCAAUUCAUAUAACCAAGCUUACUAAUAGUAAGUGCUAUUUUGUAGCUAAAUAUUGCUAUUCAAUUGCUAUAAAAGCUCAAACCUGAAUUUCAGUUGAUGAUUCAAUAUAUUCCUCUUUAUAUCUGUUGAUUUUUUUUUUUUCUGGAAUUUUCCAGGUCAUCUGCAUUUCGCAUCAUUCAUUGUGUUGUUUUUAACAUUUCUGAAGUAUUACCACCUAUCUCUUAGUUUUGCAAAGCAUGAACUACCAUGAAAUGAAUUAAGAAGGCAAACAAAAAUAGAGUUCUUGACACCUUCUAAGGCCAUCAUCAUGCUGGAAAAUUUCUUCCCCACCUGGGCACAAAAAUAAAAUUGUGAUUCUGUGCAAAUUGAUGAAGAUGUUUAAAGGGUUUCUAGUGACACAUGUACAUACUGCUGCCGUAAAUUUUUUUCUCUUUAGAAGAACACACAUACUUAUGAAGGCAUUUUCAUGAAAUAAAUGCAUGGUGAAUUUGUUAGAGUUAGCAGUUGAUCAUUUGAUAUUACAUAUAUAUGCACAUUAGUUAAGCAUACAUUACUUCAGGGAUAAUAUCUUGGAGGUUUGUACUUGGGAAAAAUCAUUUUGAUAACAUGAUAUUCAUGUGUCAAAAGAGGCUUCAACAUGAAAUAGGAAGGAGUUUCCAUUGUUUUUUAAUUUUUUUUUUCCUUUGUCUUUGAAGUACAAUAUAAUGCCAUUGAAGGGAGCCUAGUAGGCUAGUACUAUGGAAAAUACAUGAACCAAUACUGUUCUAGCCUUCUAGGAAACUUAGAAUGCCAUUUUGUUCACUCCACAUUUUUUUUCUUGCUUUCAUUUUUAUUACUAAUAUUUGGAGGAAAAUUCUUAGAUUAAUUACUGCUCUUAAUUUUUCCCUUCACCACAUUAAUAUUUCUAUAGACAUUCAUAAAAUCGAGAAAUUAAAAUUUACAUUCAUUUAAUUACCAUUAUUCACUUAUUUAUAAGUAAUGCAAGAAUAAUUAGGUAACUAGAAAUUCAGGCAUAUUAGUUGAGUUUGAUCUCAAAACUCUCCUUUUUACAUUGAUGGGUUGCAUGAUGUAUUCCUUCUAAUGCAUCCUAUACAUUCAGUUUGUUUGCAUUUUUUUUAAUACAUUCAUUUAUAACAAUGAAUAAGAACAUUCAUAUUUGGAGUCAAGAACACAUCAUUUUGAUCAAUUAAUUCAUUUGGAAUGCAACCGAAGAUCUCUUUGGAAAUUUUACAUAUGCAUGAUCAUUUAAGUAAAAUUUGUCAGAAAUUAUUAAUUCCUCCUAUCCUCAUCAUUCUAAUGCAUUUGUUUUCUUCUUGCCUCAAAAUGUUAUCUAUCUUAAUUAUGCUAUACUUCUCAUCUGCCUAGCUAAUGCAAAUCAAUGAUUCAAAAUCUAACAGCACACAAGACUGUCCUCAACAGCCAAGUAGCUACCAGGAAGUCUAGAAGUUCAAGGCUGCGGGGAACUGCUAAAGAGAUAGAAUACUAUUAGCCAUGGCUGAGAGAAUAGAGAUUUCUGAUGAUAAUAGGAGUGAUGGAAGUGAAAUUCAAACCAAAACCUCAUCUCUAUUAUGUUUUCCAGGGCAUUUGUCCUUUGACUUGAAUCAAAAGGCCAUGGAUGAAGAGGAUAGUAGCACCACUGGUGUUCCUGAAAAUGAAGUUAAAGAGGACGAGACAUCAACAGAUGCUAAUUACAGUAACAGUAGUAACAACACAACUGUAGAAGGGAAAGAACGAACAACAGUUAGGCAAUAUAUUCGAUCAAAAAUGCCUAGGCUCCGUUGGACUCCUGAUCUCCAUCUUGCUUUUGUGAAUGCUGUUGAAAGGCUUGGUGGGCAAGAAAGUAAGUUUUCUUUGGGUGCAGACUUCUGAGUGUAUUUCCAUUUCAUCGUUCAGAAAUAUCAAUUGGAAUAGGGAAGAGAAGAAAGUUAUUGCUCUAUCAUCUUUGUGGAAUUGUUUUCCCAAAGAUUUUUCCAUCCCACACAAAUAACUGAAAGAAAACUAUUUUCUUAAUGUAUCAUCCCUUUUUUUACUUUGAUUUUGUUUGAAUAAAUGCAGGAGCAACUCCCAAAUUAGUUCUUCAGUUGAUGAAUGUGAGAGGACUUAGCAUAGCUCAUGUAAAGAGUCACUUGCAGGUAAUGAAAAUGACCCAAGUUGGUUAGGUUAACUCUGUCAACAUUUAUAUCAGAGCGACUAGUCCCAUUAUUUUUAACCAUUAAUAUUUUUGCCUUUGUCCAUUUUCCUGAAUUUAUGCAUGGUGAUCUUCAAAUUCAGAUGUAUCGAAGCAAGAAGCUUGAUGAUUCUGGACAAGGUAAAAUUUCAGUGCCCUUUUAGCAGUUCAACACUAUAUCUUCGGUUUAUAAGGUCUGUUAGUAUACAAUUUAAAGACAGGUUGACAAGUUGAUGAAACAAACUAGCCAAAACCACUGAUCAACAAAGUAUGACAUCUAAACUACAGGGCUUUGAUCACAUGAAUAGCUUUCACGCUAUUCAGCUGUAUCUAGCGUCUGGAUUGCAUCUUCAGCUUGAAUUGGCCUAUUUAUGGAUAUAAUAGGUCAUUAUUUGAACAUGACUUUCAAAACAAGAGUAAAGAGAAAAUGCUAAAAUUAACCAAAAGACAGUUUUCAUGUUAGAUUAGAGUUCGCUCAUUAUUUGAAGAAAGUAAUAGUAUCAGAUUCAUGAGCUCUUGCUGGUUUAUGAGCUGAUCACUAUUUUUCUGUUUUCCCUUAUUUAUUUGUUUAUUUAUUAUUAUUUUUAAUUUGUGCAUCUUUUGUACAGUUCUAUCUCACACGAGUAGACCGAUGUAUGUAAGAGAUCACAUUCUGGAGAUGUACCAAAGAGCCAGUCCUUACGGACACUUUAGAAUGGAGAACAGGAGCCACUUCUUUUCUCCUGUAUUGAGACAGAAGUUUGACCCCAAAGCUAGCUCUUCAAGGUCACUAAAUUACAACUCCAGUGAUGAGAAACCCAAAAGAACUUGUUUGGCAAAUGUUUUAGACAUAUUCCUAACUGAUGAUCUCUGUCCUUUUUCUCUCAUAUUAUAGAAACCAACAGUGGGCUUUCGAUCAUGAUGUGAGGCAAACAAGUUCGCUAUGGAGGAAGGAUUCUGAACUUGAUCUGAUGAGUACGGAUUGGAACAAGGACCGGUCAACAAACUCACACCUGUUUGAUGUAAGGGAUGGGGGAACAGGAAUUGUGCCGAUUCAUACUAGCCGAUUUCUUGAAGAGAAGAAGUGGCCUCCACGGGAGUUGAUCGAAAAUCAAGGGAAGGGUAGAAAUAAUUCUCAAAAUAUAUGUUGGGAUGGUUCCUAUUCUGAACUUCUAUUAAACCAAAUGCAUCCGAAGCCAAUUUCAUUUGGUGGCAAUAACUAUGCCAUGCAGCCUUCUAUUUGGAGUACCAAUCCCAGCAUCAUCAACAAACAACUUCAAUCCAACAGAUGUAAUCCCUUGUUCUUAUCAAAUAGCUUUGAACCUGAGUUUGAAUCCCCAUUUCGAGUCGAGGUAUUUAACAUAGAUCACUCUUUUCCAUAUGCUUAUAUCUGAAAUUGGUUAAUUGAACUGACUUGAUCUAACCCUUUUAAAAUGCAGCUCCACAGGUUACAAGAAAAACAACCCCAGAGCAUAAAUGAAAUGGUAUUGCAAGCAGAAGAAAGUGCCUUUGUAGACAGGUUUAAAGAGAAGAAACAGCUACCUGAUUUACAGUUAAGUUUGAGCCACAACUUUGAAAUUGGUAAUGAAGUGAAUAUUAAUCCUCGGGAAAGCACCAAAGAGAUCAGCACAAUGCUUUCUCUUUCUAUGGCCAACUCUUCGUCGAGAAAACAAGCACAAUCUAGUGAAAACAGAAGAGAUUUGGAAGUUAAAAUUUGGGAUAGUUACAAACAAGUGGUACCAAGGCCACAGGGCUGAGUACUUAUUAGGAUCUGACCAUGUAAAAUUGAGCAUAGAAGUGAGAUCUUUUAAGUACUUGUCUUAAAGGCCAAACUGGACAAUUAGUUUUGCUGCUCACAAUAAGGUAUCCCCAGUUGUUUCUCUCAGGUUAAAACUGGAUGAUAGUUGCAAGCUAGCAUUUUUUUUCUUUUUUUUUCAAUCUUAAAUAUUUAGUUCCUCAAUUUCAUCAUAUGGUUUUGCUGAAAUUAAUUAACAUAAAAGUUCAAAAUAAUAUAUACUGAAUGAAUUAACUGCAAUGCGGAGUAUUUGCCUACAUGUACUAAAGCUGUAAAUCAAGCUUGUCACUACAAAAAUGCA
rnacentral:lncRNA from 1 species